rnacentral:lncRNA from 1 species
AUAGCUGUAGGUGAGAGGCACAAGACAUGUAAAGCUUGAUGGCAAAACUGAUGAAGAUGAAGGCUAUGAUCGGCAGCUAAGCAUGUCGAGUGGCUCACGAUGGAUAAAGGAGAAUUACGCACGAUAAGUAGCGAUAAUCAGGAACCGACGACCCGCGUUGAACAACACAACGGUGGCAGUGGAAUUUGAGGUCCUUUGGUUGCGGUCUUGUGGCUGGAAAAGAAAAGAAAGGAAUAAAAAGGAAAGGGAGAGAAGAAGAAAAGAGAGAAAGAAAGAAGAAUCAUGGGGUUUUUUUUUUUCUUUUUAGGGUUAAUUCCACUUUGUCCCCCCAAACUUUGGACAAUUAUCCACUUAAGUCCCUAAAUUUUAAAAUGGGACACUUAAGUCCCUAAACUUAUAAAUACCUCCCACUUAAGUCCCUGAACUUAUAAAAUGGGACACUUAAAUUCCUAAACCCUUAUAAAAUGGGACACUUCGACCACCAACGGCAUUCAGGAUUUGUUAACAAUUUUCCUUAAGUGGGAGGUAUUUAUAAGUUUAGGGACUUAAGUGUCCCAUUUUGAAAUUUAGGGACUUAAGUGGGUAAUUGUCCAAAGUUUAGGGGGACAAAGUGGAAUUAACCCUUUUUUUAAAGAAAGGAACCCCUGUGUUAGGCGUGGGUACGCCUAACUGCCUUCGAGUCUUCUGACCAACCGUCCGAAAUGGAGAUCCUUAAACGUGACCACCUGGCGUGGGCACGCCUAACUACUAGAGAGUUUUCUGACCAAUUUUCGGAAAUUGAGUUCCUUAGGCGUGACCACCUGGCAUGGGCACGCCUAACUACUAUAGAAUCUUCUGACCGCAGAUAAAAAUUGCUUUCCUUAAGCGUGACCAUCUGGCGUGGGCACGCCUAACUGCUGGGUAGUCUUCUGUCCGCCAAUUUAAAACUUCCUUCUUCAGGCAUGACCACCUAGCGUGGGCACGUCUAACUGCCAGUUCCCUGCCACAAAAGCAACAAAUCAGUAAAUGCAACUAACACUUAACAAAAACUCCAAAAACAUAAAUAAAAAAAAAACAAAAUAAAGGCCUUGGGUUGCCUCCCAAACAGCGCCUUUCUUUAAUGUUUUUGGCUAGACAUUGCCAUAUUUAUUCACGGAGGAUAAAAUCGUGUAACUCGUUUCAAUGUUUCAUCUUCUAUGUAAUCCUGAUAGCCCUCGUAAAUAGAAUAAUCCUUGAGCACACGAGCUACGAUCCUCGAUGGACUAGUAGAUAGCGCCAAACAAACAAGUAAUGACCUUAAGUCUUUACUCACUCCUCUAUCACAAGCACUUACUGGUUCGAGAUAUUUUGCCAUUGUGACUCUUAACUUAUUCCUGUCAUGAAACUCAAAAUUUUCUAGUAUAAUAAAAUCAAUCUCACUAACAGGAAUUAACGAAUAAGAGUUAGAAGAAUAUUGAUUAAGGAAUGGAGGAGAUAUCACCGUAUUUGGAGAUGGUUCACUGGAUUCAUUCACUUGAACAAUUUGAUAUUGGGGUCCCAUUUUGCGCACUUCAACUUUCUUUUCAACUGCAUCUUCAGAUCCUUCUUCUUGAGAUUCUCGCAGUACCAUGUCAUUUGUCAGGAUAAUUGCACUCUCAUCUUCCUCAUGGUCGAUAAUAGUCUGUAAGGGCAAUUUUCACUCAUUCGAGAAGUCAAUUGCGUUAUCCUAAAUGUCAAUUGAUCCAUUUUAUCUGCCAGAUUACGCAUUCUCGCUUGUGUCUCCUAAUGAAAAUCUAUUGUCGCCUGAUGAAAAUUCAUUGUCUCUUGUUGAAGUUGAUGUGUCUCCUGUUGAAUUUGAUAUGUGUUAGUAGCUAUUAAUUCAACUAUUUCUUCAAGAGACAUACCUGACAUGAAUGACGGUUCUUGAGACUCUAACUGUUGAAAAUCUAUUGGCCUUUGUUCAUAAUUAAAAUUAGAAUCAUCCCACCAUCCUUGCUCAUACCUGUUUGAAUAAGGGUCAUACCACGUUUAAUAUUGAGAUGAAAAAUCUCCAAAAGUAUCGAUUGGAGUACUUAGACCAUCUUGAAAUGCAGGGCAUAUGUCGGUUGAAUAAUUUGAGGCAAAAUAAGUUCCACAAUUUGCAACAACCCAUUGAUCAUUAGAAAAAAUAUGAGUCUCAUAACCCCUUGUAGAAAUCAAAUCCAGUCUAUCACCAAAAUACGUAAUGUAAGCAGCCAUAAACUAUAUAUAAAAAAAAUAAGAGAAAAAUAAAAAAUGAAAAUGAGAUGAACUCAAAAAGAAACAAAUUAAUCAGGCACCAGUCCCCGACAACGGUGCCAAAAAUUGACAGGUGCCGAAUCUGUACAAUAAUAAUAAAUAAAACCUAACUACCACUAAAAGCAGUCAAUAAUCAAUUCUAAGUACUGGAGCACGAACUCUAGGUGUGCAAUGGGUUACUUGAUUCACCCUGUUCGUGAAGAGUUUGCUUAAUCCGAUAUACUUGAAUUAAUUAUUUAACUGAAUUCACUAACUAGUAGACAGUGGUAAACAGGGUCGUCUCCUCAGGGACUAGCGAGAAAUUUGUUUCUUUUCAAGUCAAGAUUAAUGGGGGGUUUUGGGAUUAAAUGCCAAUUAAACAAAUUUAAUGCAGAAAAUAAUUAAUUAAAAGAAAUAAUUAAGAGAAACUCUAGCCAAGGGUACACUUUAGAAAUGGUUCAUGCACUGAUCAUCGAUUCACAGAUAAUUCCAACAUUUAUUAAUAGAUUGGUUAUAGUUGUUAUGCACGCGAUAAACAACCAACAUUUCCUUAAUUUCUCGAUAGUUAAGGUACGAUCUUAACUAUUUCUCUAACCCAAAAACAACCCUAGGUACGACCGUAGGAUUUAAUUUUUAGAUUGCAUUAAUAAUUAGAAAGACCCAAUCCUAACUAAUAAACAUGUUAUGAGGGUUUAUUUAAAUUAGAUCAUAUGUUCCCCUGACAUAAAUCCAAUUACGCCAGUUGCUACUGAGAUAGAGAUAACGAACAAUUACGGAUUCAAUUAUCCCUAUUUAGCAAAAUAGCCUAUAUGAACAAUUAAUUAUUGCGCACUAAUCAAUCAUACACAAGGGCUAUAACGAUUAGAAGUAGGAAACAUAUAAAUACCAAUAAAUAAAGAAAAUAAUUAAAAACGGUUUAGAUCUCACAGUGAUUGCUGAACCAAUUCGUCAGUUGCCCCCUUGAUUAGAAUUGAGAAGAUAGUUCUCCAUUAAUGGAGAACCAGCCGUGCCAAAGUAAAAAUAAUCGCCCCUGCUUUUCUAAUGUUUUCUCCCUUUUAAAAGUCGGCUCAGGAGAAAAAGUCCCCAACCUACAUACCUUCCAAUCGUUUUUCAAAGUAAAAACAAAGUCAAAGACAAGCCUUCACGAAGUCUCCUAAUCCUCUACGUUUUUUAGCCACUCAAAGGGAUGAAGGAAAUCCCUUUCCUUUUAGGCUAGGCCCACCAGAGAGAACAAACAGAUCCCCAUCCGGAUUCCUCUCCUUCAAAAUUGGUACCCGAGUACCAAUUUUCCUAAACAAUAGGAGUCCUAUUAUAGAUAGCUUUCUUCAGCUUUUGAAAUGGCCUCACUGCUUUUCCACAUUGUAGUCCGCUGCUUCAUUCAGUUUUGGAAGCUUUCACGUGUGCAAAUUAUCCCGAGAAUCUAUCCUUGAAAGCUGGAGUUAGGCGUGGGCACGCCAAACUAUCAGGGAGUCUGCUGGAAUGACGAUUUUCAGUACUUUUUCUUCACCAUUUCCUGUAAUUAAUCCCGAACACAAAACCUGAGUAGAAUCCACCCAACUAGUGCAAUAUUUAGUGAAACAAUUAUGCAAUAAUAUCAAAAUAUCCCACUAAAAUGCACCCUAUCAACUCUCCACCACUGUCUUAUGAAUACAAGGCAUUUGAAACUGUGGUCAUCAAUUUUUUCAUUUGGUCAAAUGCAACUAUUACUCGAUGUAGGUGUUAAAUCAAAGUUUUAUGUUAUUUAAUAAUUUCCUAAAUUGUUUGGUAAUAGCCUUUGUCGUUAGAUGAUGAUUAGUGGUUUAAAUCGAAAUUGUAUUCGGUUCCUUUACCAACUUGGAACUUGUGUCGAGCUAUUUAGGGAACUAGCUAGUUUAUAAAUACAACUACUAGUAGUACUGAUUUGUGUGCGUCCGGAACGGGAAGAAAUAACGAAUUAGAGAAUUUGCCUCCCGAUACUUUCCCUAGUUUCGUUCGUUUCUUCCUCGUGCCGUUCCAGUUGUUUAUAUUUUCCGCUGCCAAGAUUAUUGAUUGUUUAAUUCGUUCGUACUAGUUAUCCUGUGAGUAAAUUUUCUACACACGAACUCUACGUCUCUCAGUGUAUGUCAUUAAUGAUGGGCAAGAAAAUCAUCUUGAAAUCAUCAUCAAUCUUAUUGUGUAAUUAGUUAUGAAUUAACUUAUAACAGGAGCAAUUACAAGGGAGAAAACACUAGUAGAUUUGCCUUUAGAAAUGGUGGAUGUUUGAAAUGAGUUCAACGAAUUUGGAAAAGUUAAAAUUCUAGCCAUGACUGAAUUUUCUUGUAUUUGUCAUUUUUUUCUAUUUGAAUAAUGUUUUCCUAACAAUAACUAAUAUAAAGAAACAAAAAGUUGUUUUUCUAAGGAAACUUACAUUUAAAAAAAUUAAUGUUUCUUAAGGUAAAUAUUUAAUAGUUAUCAUAUAUUAACAAUAUAGUCUUAAUAAUGGUAUAAUAUAUGGAAACUAGAGUUAAUCUUUUGUCGGACGCUUCAUAAAGAGAAAUCAAAGGAAUUAAACCGACAACCAACAUAUUUGGAUGCCUCUACCGGCCCCUUCGUCCGUUGUUGUUAACAAGUCUUCAUAUCAACACCAAUAACAACCCCAAAUUUGUAUUUAUGACAAUGAAAUUCCUCAACAAGAAGGAAAGAAACUUUCAUGUCCAAAAACUUCAAAGAUAUGAUACCUUGGGGCAUCCAAUUCAACAAGUUUCACUAUAACAAUUAUCCUGAUUCCAUGGUGUCUGCUGCUCUCGUCUCUUGCCAUUUUUCCUUAUGUCAAUCACACUCCAGUCAUGCACUAAUGUAUCUUGGCUUUUUUACUCCUUUUUCCCCUAAGUUUGUUUCUUUAUUCCACUAUUGCUUUUACGAUUAGUGACUUAUUUAAGUAUUACGUUUGAACUCGUGACUUAUGGUGUUUGCCUCAGUUUAGGUUGGCAUAUUGAAUUUGGGAUCAGGUACAUGACUACGUGGUGCUAUAGUGGAGAUGGGAGUUGAUGAAUAUAUCCAACCUCUUCACUGUAUUUGUUAUAAAAAAGAAUCAUUUUUCCUUCAUUGAUUAGCGACGUGCACUUCAAUAAAUAGUAAUAUGCACUUCAAUGAAAAUUAAUGUGUACACAAGUGUGAAAUGAAAAAUUGUUAAAAGGUUUUGAUGCGAGGAAAAUCGGGUUUGUUUGGAUUGUAAGUUAUUUGAGAUAUUUUUACAGUAGCACUUUUUGUGAUAUGAUGUAUGUGAGAUGAAAAGGUAAUUGGGAAAGUAAAAAGGUGUAUUGGAAAUUGUAAUGAUGAUGUAAGCAAAUAUAUUUGGGGAAAUAAAGAUCAAUCCAAACAAACCUGAUAUUUCCCAUCAUUCAAAAUUUUGAUGCAGCACAUCUAAUUGAAUAACUAGACUUCAAUUUGAAGCCAAACAAACAUUUCUUCUACACAAAGCAAGCUACUUUACACACACAUACACAUAUGGGUACUUUCUGUACAAGUACUCUUCAGAUAGUUUUUAAUUAAUUUGUACCAGUUAUUAAAUAAAUUUUCAUAUACGGUGUCAUAGAGAAGAUAUUAUAUGACAAAUUGUACUUGUCCCACCUUAUAUAUUAAAAGAGAAUUAUUUUUUUCCUUCAUUGAUUAGUCAUGUGCACUUUGAUAAACCCAAGUAAGGACAAUGAUAUAUCGCAAUAGUACAAUUUUUUUAAUGUAGCACAACUAAUUGAAUAACUCUACUUCAAUUUGAGGCUAAAUAAACAUUUUUCCAAUACAGAUUGUGGUUUUCUGCAUACAAGUUCGCGUACUUUAUAUCCAAGUACAAAUAAAAAGUACUUUUUUUACCGUCGUUAAUUAAUGUAUACAGGUGAUUAAAUAAAAUUUCUUAGAUGGUAUCAUAAUAAAGCUAGUAAUUGACGAAUUGAAUUUAUUCAACCUCUAAGAUACAUAAGGGAGGGUUGGAUUGGGUAAAGGAGAAUAAUUUUUUGUUCGUUGAUUAGCAAUGUGGACUGUAGUCAAUAUUGAUAUGCACUUUAAUGUCUGUUAAUAUGCACUUUUGAUAAACACAAGGGUAAAAUAGAGAAAUCACUAAAAGGUUUUCAUGUGAGGGCAAUGAAACAUCAAAUUAUUGGAUUUUUUUUGAUGUAGUGUAACCAAUUGGAUAACCCAACUUCAAUUCAAGGUGAAAUAAACACUUUUCUUAUACAGAAUGAGGUACUUUACAUACAAGUUAGGGUCCUGUUUUAUGCAAGUAUUUUUCUUACAAUUGUUAAUUAUGUAAAUUAAUGAUCAAAUAAAAUUCAAGUGGAUGGCUGAAUAUUAGCUCCUAUUUAUACAAUUUAGAAAUAACAAAUUUGCAAGAUACAAAUCUCAUAAUAAUCACUAACUGAUUUUUAAAAUUUAUUCUGCCAGUCACAAGGGAGGGUUGGAUUGGGUAAAGGAGAAUAAUUUUUUCUUCGUUGAUUAGCAAUGUGGACUAUAGUCAAUAUUGAUAUGCACUUUAAUGUUUCUCAAUAUGCACUUUUGAUAAACGCAAGGGUAAAAUAGAGAAAUCACUAAAAGGUUUUUAUGCGAGGACAAUGAAACAUCAAAUUAUUGGAAUUUUUUUUGAUGUAUUGUAACCAAUUGAAUAACUUGACUUCAAUUUAAGGCCAAAUAAACAUUUUUCCUAUACAGAAUGAGACACUUUACAUACAAGUUAGGGUCCUUUUUAUACAAGUACUUUUCUUAUAAUUGUUAAUUAUGUAAAUUAAUGAUCAAAUAAAAUUCAAGUGGAUGGCUGAAUAUUAGAUCCUAAUUAUACAUUUUUGAAAUAACAAAAUUGCAAGAAACAAAUCUCAUAAUAAUCACUAACUGAUUUUUUAAAUAUAUUAUGCCAAUCACAGUGGAUUUGAGAUCAAAGAAGCAUUUUAGGUUUACAAAAUUUGUAUUUCACAUACAAAUUAGAGUUUUUUUUUAUUAUUUUUGUAACAGUAGUGAAUCAAUUUAAGUUCAUAUUAAUCUUAGUUAACUUGUCUAGCUUAUGCUGCUUACUAAUGUUGAAUUCAAGAUUGAACAAAUUUUUUUCUUAAUACAAAACCAAUACUUUACAUAUACAACUUAGGUAUUCAUUUUUUUGAUAUAAAUAAUUUUAUUAACAGAUUGUUGGAAAUUAUCCAAUACAAUUUGAUUUACAUUAAUGUUUUGAUGGUAGGUUAAACAUGCACUACAAAAUAUAGACAUACAAUUUAACAGAUAUAAUGAAUCUGAAAAAUUGUAUAUAGAUCUGAAAAGUAUAAGAAAUUUCAAAUUUGUCUUCUAAUAAAUAAAUUGUUGCAACUUUCUUCUAUGCAUAUUGCAAUAACAACUCAGGUAAUCAUUAACAAUUAAGUGAUUAGUGUCUAAUUUUGGAUUCGAAUUUGGGUAACGUUUGUGCACAUUUAUAUUCACUGGAGUGCACAUUCAUAUUCUUCUUCUUUUUUUUUUGUCGAAACGUUAGAAUCAUUUCAUUCAUUGUAACGAGAAAUUAUAAGUGCAAGCAAAGGCUCGAAAGGUCUGUACAUCUAGUGCUCAAUAGCACUGAGGAAAAAUCCAUUCCUCAUCCACAAUAAUGCCUAAGGCAUGAAAACUUAAACUUUUGCUUCUUUCUAUACUUUCUUCACUAACCAAGCAAAACAAGCACAUGCGAAACAGCUUCUGUAUGUUAAGUAUGUCUUCUAUGAAGGUAGCUAAACUGCUGUUGGAGGGGCUUCUGAUCUUGAUAUGUCUCAUCAAUUCUUGGUUUUGAGAGUGAAUCGUGAUCCUACUCCAUUUCUGCUCUAAAGCUUUACACAAAACAACUUGAUGGCCACUGCUUCAUUUAUGGUUUUAUCUCCCAAGUUUCUCUCUUUGAGUGCCCAUUCUGCCAUCAGAGUAUUUGGAUGCCUCCUAACUGUAACUCCAAUCCCCAGCGAGACCUGACCGUACUGACUCUUUGUUGCCACCUCCAGAACAAUUGCACCUUCUUCUUCAAGCCCCUGAUGAUGUUCUACAUUGUUGGAAGUUGUUUCUCCUGUGCUUAACCUGAUCUUAGUGUUCAUGCUUUCCUCUUGUUCCAACUAGUCCUUAUGAGCUUUAAUAAUUGUCCUAGCUAGUGAGCAGCUGCUUUUGUUUUCAAAUUCCUUUUUGUUUCGUUCUUUCCACACUUGCCAUAAAAUUCUUGCAGUCAGUCCAAUAUGCUCCAUCCCACUUGGCCUUUUUCUUGCCUCUGAAACUCUGAUCCACCAACGUUUGAAAUUUCCUUGUUGGUCUACAGCACCAUCCCAUUGUAUUGGUGCAGCCUUCUAUACCUCCUGUGUGUGUUGACAGUUCAAAAGUAAAUGUUCCACUGUUUCCUGCUCUUCCCCACAGAUUCUACACACUGGAUCUCCCAAUCUUGUCUUCCUCACUGGUAGUUCACCAGUUAUGCAUUUCCAAAUGAAAAUUUUUAUCUUAUGUUUGAUGUUGAGCUUCCAUAAGGUAUUCCACAUUUGCCUAGCUUGCUGGCUUCCUUCUGUGAUACUUGGACUUGCUGCCUCUGCUUGUUCCUUCUCAGCAUCUGUGCUCUCUUUCAUAAGGAGUUUAUAGCCUGAGUUGACCGUGUAUAUCCCCCCUGCAUUGUGUUGCCAAUAGUAGCUGUCCUCUCUCCCAGUCAAACUUAAGGGGAUCUUUAAGAUCUUCUCAGCAUCCCUUUGAUUGAAAUACUUAAAGAUGAUGUUUCUAUUCCAUCUUUGAUGACUGAUUAACUCAUGCACCAUCUUCAAGUCACUACUUUGAGGUCUAAGGGAGGUUGGCUUACCAGAACUAGAUCCAGGAAUCCAUCUAUGAUCCCAGAUGCUUGUACUUCUCUCGUUGCCAAUCUUUCUAAUCAUCCCUUUGUCAAUUAAGCAUCUGGCUCCUAGUAAUCCUUGCCAUAUCCAGGAUGCAUUCUUGUGUGUCUUGCAUGUUAAGAUAGAGUCCUUAGGGAAGUAUCUAGCUUUCAGCACUUUGCUAAUCAGGAGGUUUGGUUUGGUGAUUAUUCUCCAAAUCUGCUUACCCAGCAAAGCUUUAUUAUAAGCUGCUGUGUCCUUGAAACCCAGACCUCCUGCAUUCCUCUUCAUUGACAUUUUCCUCCAAGAUACCCAAUGCAAUUUGUUUUUGCCAUUUGUUUCUCCCCACCAGUAAUUGGCCAUCAGUGAGCUAAUGUCUUUACACAGCUUCCUUGGCAGUUUGAAAACAACAUGGCAUAAGUAGGCAUUGCCAUUGAUACUGCCUUGAGCAUCACUUCCUUGCCUACAGUACUUAGCAACUUAUUCCUCCAAUCCUGAAGCUUUCUCCUUAUGUUUUCCUUGAUGAACCCAAAGAUCUGAUCCUUUGUCCUAGAGAUCACCAUAGUCAGUCCCAGAUAUUUGCCUUGUUUCAUCUCUACCAUUCCUCCCAGAGAGCUGCACACUUCUUUUCUUUGCUCCAUAGACAUAUUCUUACUAAAAAAGACAGAAGACUUAUCCAGGUUGAUCAACUGUCCUAAAGCCUUUUCAUAUGUUUUGAGAAUCUUCAUGAUUUCAGUAGUCUGCUGCUUGUUAGCUUUACAAAAAAUGAGGGAGUCGUCUGCAAAGAAAGGUGUGUGAUGAUAGGUCCUUGCCUACUGAUCCUCAAACCUUUUAUGUCAUUCCUCUCUUCAACUUUCCUCAACAAGUUGGAGAAACCUUCUGAUCAGAUUAAGAAUAAGUAAGGAGAUAAUGGGUCUCCCUGUCUUAUUUCCCUUUCUGGAGUUACAAAUCCUUUAGUUUCCCCAUUGCAAUUGAAAGAGUAGGUUACUGUUUUCAAGCAGUUAAUAAUCCAGUUAAUCCAUUUUACACAAAAGCCCAUCUUCAGCAUCAUUGCCUGCAAAAAAUGCCACUCCACUCUAUCAUAGGCUUUGGCCAUGUCUAACUUGAUUGCCAUGUAACCUUUUUUUCCUUGCCUUUUAUUUUUGAGGUAAUGCAUGUACUCAUGGCUUAAGAUUACAUUAUCUAAGAUUUGUUUGUCUGGGAUGAAAGUAGAUUGGAUGCUACUAAUGCACUUUCCCAGAACUAGUUUCAGUCUAUUGGCCAAAACUUUGGAAAUGGUUUUGUAGAUCACACUGCACAGGCUGAUGGGUCUAAAAUUUUUCAAACAAGUUGGAUUCAAGAUUUUGGGGUUUAGAAAAAUAAUAGUAUGAUUAAUAGAUUUAAGCAUGAAGCCUGAACUAAAGAAAGAUUGAAUUGCUGGAAUCAAAUCCCCUUUGAUAAUGCUCUAGAACCUUUGAAAAAAUAAGGGGGACAUGCCAUCCUGGCCUGGAGCUUUAUCAGGCUACAUGGAAAAGAGAGGUGAUUUGAUUUCUUCUUCCUCAACUGGUUUAGUUAGAUUGGUGUUCAUUUCCUGAGUAAUUGAGUAGGGAAUACCCUCUAGGAUCUCAGACAUAUCAUUCCUCCCUCCACUUGUAAACAACUCUCUAAAGAAGUCAGAGAUUUCUGAUAUUACUUCCUCCUCACUUUCAGUCCAUGAACCAUUCUCCCUUUGCAAUUUCCUGAUUCUAUUCUUAGUUCUUCUCCCCUUAACAUAGGCAUGGAAGUACUUUGUGUUUUUAUCUCCUUCUCUUAGCCAGUCAAGCCUUGCUUUUUGGCACCAGAAUUUAUCUUCUUCCUUAUAGGCUUCCUUAAGCUAGUUCUUGAGCUCAGUCGUAGUCUCUUUCUUAUUAGCAGCAUUUGAGCCUCUCACAGCCUCUAGUUCCUUCCCUAGCUCCACAAUCUUUCUUUUAGAAUUUACUUGGAAGGUGUUUCUCCAUUUCAGUAGCUCUAUUCUACGGUUUCUGAUCUUUUUGGUAACUUUGAACAUACAUGAGCCAGGCUCUUCCCUCUGCCAAGCUUGCUCCACUACCUGUUGAACCCUUUCCUUUUGCAACCAUAUUUUAUCAAAAUAGAACCUUUUUUUUUCCUUUUCUCCUUCCCUGGAUCAGUGUCUAAGAACAGUAUGCUAUGAUCAGAAGCAUAAGUGUCCAUGUGUUGACAUCUUGCUUUUUCACAUGUCUAAACCCAUUCAUAGCUGGCCAAGCAUCUAUCUAAUCUCUGCCUUUUCUCAUUCAUCCUCCCAAUGGUUACUCCAAGUCCAUGGGUGACCCUCAAAGCUUAUAGCUAUCAAGUUAUUCUGAUCUAUAAAGUUCUUAAACUCCAUUAAGCUUCUCUCCACUCUGAGAGUUCCUCCCCAUUUUUCUUCAUUAGACACUAUGUCGUUGAAAUCUCCUGCAAUCAUGAAUCUGUCACCCCACAAUCUAUUUUUACCUCUCAAGACUCUCCAUUGCUCCUUCCUAAUCUGAGCAUUACAGCUCGCAUAAACCCCUAUAAACCACCAGUCACAUUGCUUAUCAGUAUCCUCUAUUCUGACUUCAAUAAUGAAGGCUGUUAGGUUAACUUCCAGAACUUGUGUUUUCUCUUUCCAAAAAAUAGCCUUACCUCUGGCCUUGUGCAUAGCUUCCACCACUGCACUGUUGUCAAAAUGUAAACCUCUAGCAAUCCUAUCAAGCACCUGUUUUCUAUUCUUUGUCUCACUCAAGAAAAUCAGGCUUGGAGAGAGGAGGUUAUUCACCCUCAAAUGGGGAACUGUCAAGGGGCUCCCCACUCCUUGACAAUUCCACACCAAGGCUCUCAUUUCCUUUGGGGGGCCCCAUUAGGGAAGGACCCACCUCCACCUCAGUCAUUCCUGCCAUACCAGUUAACUCAAGUGGCUUAGUUUUUUUGCCUACUGACUCUUGUUGGUGUACUUCCUCCAUAUCCUCAUCAAAAAACAGCAUCUUCCUUUUCCCAUUACCUAUAAGAUUAGUUUCCUGUUCAUUCCUCUCUUUCAGAGGCCUUCUUGUUUUGAUUGGUGACUUCAGCUUCUUGUAUGACCUUUUAACUUGCUUUUUAAUGGCUCCCUGCACCUUAUCAUUACUAUGGGGCUCCUCCUGCAAUACUGCCUCCAGUACUGGUAUCUCUUGAAUCUAUUUUCUUGCUCCAGCCAUCUUGAACUCAUAUCUCUGUCCUCCUCCAUUUCCUCCACUUCUAUUAGAGUCAGAUUCUCCUCAACUUUGUCCUGUACUAUCAGAGAGAGGUCCUGCUUUUCCUUAGUCAAGGGCUGGAAGUCAUCUCUGAGAGCUCGUUCCAUACCACUAGUUCCCACCUUAUUUGAAGGGCCACUUUGAUCUUUUCCUACCCUUAUAUCCUCCUGCUAUUUCAUUAAAUCCUGAUUGCUUCUAGAUCCUAGACCUGUGGUCCUCAGUGUCUCCAGGAGUUUCUCUCCAGAAUGCAUCCUAUUCCUUUCCUUCUCAACCAUUUCCCCAUUCUGAAACUUCUAAUACCUCUUAUCUUUCACCAUUUCCUCUCUCACUAUUCUAUCCUUAGUUCGACUUCUGGUACUUCCUGCUCUCAACCAAGGGCCAUGUUGGUGCUCUAGUAGGCUUCCUGAAGUAGUUCUUUGCUCUUUACACGUAUGUUCCCCAUGCCUUACUAUUCCGCAGCUAUAACAGAAAUAUGGGCAUCUUUUAUACUUAAAAGCUACCCAUUUGAGUGACUCUGCUACGUGCACCAAUGUUCCUCUGAGAAGGGGUUUAGACAAAUCUACAAGAGCUAGCAUUUUCAAAUGUCUGCCCUCUUUUCCCCCUGCCUGAGGGACAAUGACCUCUUUAACUUCUUUAAAAACUGCUCCUAUCUUUCUCCCUACCUCCUUGGAGAGCCAAUGCACUGGCAGAUUCCAAAUUUGUACCCACAGAGGUGCAAGCUCCAUAGUUAUCUUCUAUCCCUUCUGACCAUCUGUUCAGCACUAGGAUUUGAUUAUCCAUUAUCCAAGGGCCUCCUAUCACUAUUCUUUCUUUCUCUUCUAAGUUGGGGAUAUUGAAUUGGAACAAGUUCGGUCCCAGCUCCAUUACUGUCAGAUUCCUGGGGUAGCUCCAUGCUCAUGCUGCAGUCACAAAGUUCUUCACCCCCGUAAAGUUUGCAAUUUUCUCUCCUAUUAUUCUUCCUAUCAGACUUCCUUCACAAUCUCUCACCCUACUAUUAAGAUCCUCAAGCUCCAGCUUAGCUCCAGAUAUCUCAUUCCCCUCCAGUGAGAAUUAUCGUAACAACUCAGUCAGAUCUCCCUCCAUUGAUGUACCAAAGAUGCUAACGGGUAUUCCCUCUACGUACUUAGGAAAUUAUGCCUUUUCACCUUCCAAUUAGGUUAAAGACUAAGACACGAAACAAAGAGAAACAAAAAAUACGAAAACAGAAGACAAAGACACUACUGGACAAAAACUACCUUACUAAAAGGAAACCAGGAAAACAGCAAGGUCAAGAGUGACUACACAACAAGAAUCCAAAGAGCAUAGAAAAAACAAAGACACGGCCAGACAUGUACUACCUCAGUAAAGGGAGCAAGGAAAAGUAAAGGUGAAUCAAGAUUUACCUGGCUUUCAGCUUACCAUAAAGUGUUGUUUUUAAGUUGUCUGUUGUUCCCUCUGGAGAGACCUCCUUAAAUAACCCUGAGUGCGGUAGUUGAGCUGCUUUAAACUAGCAUUUGGUGCAGAUCAGAUUGGUAGUGGUGAUGUUUGUGAAAUUUUUGUGCAAAAGUGCGGGUUAGUGCCUAGUGGGAAAUUUUGAAAAAGUUUGAAACAUUGAUGAACUCCCACCAAAAGGGAGGUGAGCUCUUAUACCAAGAGAGAGCUUCCUCUACACAAUGAGACGAUUUCCUUUGAAAUUGUUUGGGUUAAUUUGCUGUUUUUGCCUUAUAAGUCAUUUACUCACAUUCAUAUUCACAAAGUUAGGUUACUUUUUAUCCAAGUACAAGUACUUUUCUUACAAUCGUUAAUUAAUAUAUACUAGUGAUUAAAUAAAUUUUCUUAGAUGGUAUCAUAAUAAAGAUAGUGAUUGACGAAUUGAAUUUAUUCAACCUCUAAGAUACAUGGGGAGGGUUGGAUUGGAUUGUAAGGGGGAGGGAUUGUACGUAGGAGGUUUUGGGUUCAAGACCUCUUACUUACCCAAAAAAAUCCUCUAGGAUACAUAUUGGAAAAGAAUAAUUUUUUCUGAGUUGAUUAGCAAUGUGGACUAUAGUCAAUAUUGAUAUGCACUUUAAUGUUUCUCAAUAUGCACUUUUGAUAAACGCAAGGGUAAAAUAGAGAAAUCACUAAAAGGUUUUUAUGCGAGGACAAUGAAACAUCAAAUUAUUGGAAUUUUUUUUGAUGUAUUGUAACCAAUUGAAUAACUUGACUUCAAUUUAAGGCCAAAUAAACAUUUUUCCUAUACAGAAUGAGACACUUUACAUACAAGUUAGGGUCCUUUUUAUACAAGUACUUUUCUUAUAAUUGUUAAUUAUGUAAAUUAAUGAUCAAAUAAAAUUCAAGUGGAUGGCUGAAUAUUAGCUCCUAAUUAUACAUUUUUGAAAUAACAAAAUUGCAAGAAACAAAUCUCAUAAUAAUCACUAACUGAUUUUUUAAAUAUAUUAUGCCAAUCACAGUGGAUUUGAGAUCAAAGAAGCAUUUUAGGUUUACAAAAUUUGUAUUUCACAUACAAAUUAGAGUAUUUUUUUUAUUUUUGUUACAGUAGUGAAUCAAUUUAAGAUAAUAUUAAUUUUUGGUUGACUGUUCAAGUGGUGCUUACUAAUGUUGAAUUCAAGAUUGAACAAAUAUUUUCUUAAUACAAAACCAAUACUUUGUGUAUACAACUUAAAAAAUCAUUUUUUUGACAAAAAUAAUUUUACUAACAGAUUGUUGAAAAUCGUCCAACACGAUUUGAUUUACAUUAGUGUCUUAAUGCUAGGUUAAACAUACACUACACAUUACAGAUAUACAAUUUAACAGAUAUAAUGAACUUGAAAAAUUGUAAAUAGAUCUGAAAAAUAUAAGAAAUUUUAAAAUUGUUUUCUAAUAGAUAAAUCGUUGCAAUUUUCUUCUAUGCAUAUUGCAAUAACAACUUAGGCAAUCAUUAAUAAUUAAGUGAUUAGUGUCUAAUUUUGGAUUCGAAUUUGGGCAACGCUUGUGCACAUUUAUAUUCACUGGAGUGCGCAUUCAUAUUCACAAAAUUGCGCUUAUGUAGUUGCAAUUAUAAAUCGGAUGGUAAGAAGCAAUAAAGAGAAAUGUCAUCGACAUUCUAAAGCAAGUUAUAGUAGCUUACCCUUUUUUUUAUUUAUUGAAGUGCACAUUUAUGUUCAUUAGAGCGCGCACACACAUAUGAACAAAUUAUCUAAUUUAGGCGAUAUUGAAAUAUGUUUCUCUGCUGGUCAGAAUUUGCACAUCUUCAACAAACUUCAACCCUUAUCAAAAUUCAAGAAAAAAUUACUAUAAUCCGAAUAAGAACUGGAACUUGCUUAUGAAAAUCAAUCACACCAAUUAAAAGAUUACAACUACUGAUAUUUGAAUGAGAACAAAAUCCUAGGUAAGAGAAACAGAAUUUCCUCUCUUUUGUCCGGAAAGCAGUCUUGAGUUCUGCUAGAACUAAAAGUUUGCAUUCAGGAAAGUCCAAAUAUUGGAUAACUUUGUACAGCAAUUAUUGACCUCUAAAAUUCCCCUGCAAAUGCUUCUAGUGCAUCUAUUACAUGCAGAGAGAAAUGAAGCAAAAGUAGUACAACUAGCAGGAGCAGCAGUGUACCUAAUGAAGCAGCUGCUUCUUCAGACUGAGCAAUGGAAACAAUUACCGCAGAAGAAGUUCUUCUCUUCAUCAUCAUCUUCGUCAUCGUCUUCUGGUCUGAAAUAAAUUAAUUAGUGGGAUUUUUCAGGCAAAUACUGAAGUUUGGUUGUUGAAUUUUAUUUUCAAAGCUAACUUCAAGCAAUUGCACUUUUAUUUUUUUCUCAAUUUCGACGUCGUCACGGUGUCGGAUAGGAAAGCCCAAUCAAAAGCCUGGCAUGGCCCACACUUCUAUUUUUGAAGGGAUAUUUUGUAAAUGGUGUAAUUAUCGGACUCGACAUUACUAAAUCAUAUAGUUGGUUAUGAACGAAGAUGUUGUAGUUAUUAUUGCUGACGGGUUUUUACUUUAAGUGCAAGUUUAAUUCCGAAUUUACACCCGUUGGACUGCAAGUAUACAGGUCGCAAUUGUAGUACGAGAUGUGUAUCGGGUCGAUCCCACGAGGAGCAAUUUAAAACAAUUAUUAGAUACUAAUUUACUCUAUUAUUUAGACUCACAAUUAAUUUGAGCAGAAACUUCAGAUUUUAAUUCAACUACAAAAAUUCUUAAAUAGAUAAAUGCAAUUUCACAAUAGGAGUAGAAUUCACUAAAUAUUAAGAUCUAGGGAUGUAGAUUCCACUUAUGACACAAAAGAUCUAAAAUGAAUUAAUUCAACACUUGUUACUGCUCUUGUUUAACCAAGGAUUCAUUUCCAGAAAUACUAAAAUCACAUUCUCAUGAUAAUAAUGGGUUAAAACAGAUUAGUUUGUCCUAAUCUCUUGGUAAAUACUAAAUCUGUUCUUAUUCACACAUGAAAUGCAGAUUUCAUCCACUUGAAUGUAUUUCUAUUCUCAUGAAUAUACAACUCAAGUUCUACUUGUGUCAUUCCAUUAUUUUUACCAUUUCUUAAUGAAUAAAAACAACUAUAAACCUGCUAUUGGUGAUCAAGCAACAACAAGUAAUCAAGCAUACACAAGUAGACAAGUUAAUACAAGACAUAACAAGCAUAAAUCACAAUCACUUCAUAUCAUUUGGCCAUAAGCUUCAUCUACUCCCUAGAUAAAGGAAAUUAGCUACUCAUGAAUGAUGAAACACUCAUAACUUCAUUAAUGUAAAUCAUCAUGAAUUACAAAUACAAACAGAGUAAAGAAAGUCUUAGCCAAGAUAUGGUGAAGCCUUCCAAAAAUCUCCUUUGUCUUGAACUUAGAUGAUUACAAGAUGAAAUCCCAAUUGCCCCUUGCAAGUCCUAGGUAGAGAGAAUAUGUUUUUCUGUCAAGAAGCUAAGCUACGAAUGGAUGUCCCAGACCUCUCCCCAUAUCUCUGCAUAAAAAAACACUCAAAGGCUCCAUUUUUCCAAGUCAAAUUCUAUCCUUUGAUUCCCAAAUCUCCACUUUGUUAGCAUAGUCAAAAACCAAUAUUUUUGACUUGAAAAUAAGCCACUUUUCUUGCCCUUUUGUCUUCUGAAGCAUGUGCACCGAAUUCCCUUGCAUCUUAUAGCUGGAAAGUGGUAUGAACACAAGAGAAUUGGCUGAGUCAAAUUGCAGAAUUUCGGCUAUAAAACGCGCCUACACAAAACGCGGCACAAGUCGCGUUUUGUGUACUCGCGUUUUCACUCUGGCCUUAUUCAUCUGCGAUUUUCUCUAUCAUAAAGGCCGAACUAGCUUUUGUGCAAAACACAAAAGUUGUAGCCCUUUGAGUUAGCUUUCCAAUGCUUCAAGAAUCAUCCAAAUCGGAGCUUUGUAGCCUGAGAUAUGAUCGAAAUACUGUCACCUGUUCAAACCUCUGUUUUAACUUCCGACCACAGAAUGCAGCUUCUGUAUUCCAACGUUUUGUCCAUGAAGAUGGCAGAAAUGGAUUUCGAUGUCUUCAUACGAAUUGUAGGUCUCUUUCUUAGCUUUAAAAUGGUAUAAAGAUCACCUCAAUCCGAUAUGUGUAGCUCCAGAUAUGGUCAAAAUACUGAAGAGUGUCAAAACUGACUUGUAUUGCAUUUCCUCACUUGAACGUUUUUCACUUCAUUCUUCUUGUUGCCACUUAAAUUCAUCACCAAAUCUCUAUUUUUCACCUCAAUUGACCUCCUUUGGUGAUUGAUUCAUUAUUCCUGCAUAAAAAUGAAGUUUUUACUAUUAAAAUCAAUAGAAAUGCAAUAUUAUCCACUUUUACCAAAAAUAUAUAAUUUUACCAAAAACCUCUUUAUUUUAAUUAUAAAACUAAAUAAUCAACUCAAAAUUAACUAAUAAAAUGCACUUAAAAAUACGUAAAAUAAACUCUUAUCAAAUACCCCCACACUUGAAUCAUUGCUUGUCCUCAACCAAUAUAAAAUUCUAACCAUCAAUGAUCCAAAAAAAUUGAAAAUAAACAUAUGUAGUAUUUCAACUCCAUUUCCUUGAAUCAAGGUAAAUAACCCUUAUGUGAUCUUUCCAUUAAGUUCAAGUACUCAUAAUAUCAAGCAAAGAAGAGCCAAGUAUACCAUAAUUUUGCCAAUUCAACUCAACUUCUUAUUUUUAUCCAAUUUCGCAAGCAAGCAACUCCUAUAGUCAAUAAAGAUGCUAACUAAUCUCAUGAUCAACUUCUUAUUUUUCUUAAAGAGGGAUUUAAUUUACUUUUUAUUUAUUUAUUUAUUAUUAUUUUAUUUUUUUUAUAUUUUAAGGGUUAAAUAUUACUUAAGUUGUGAAAAAUGCCUUUUGACGCGAAGAUCAACAUUUUUAGAUGCAGAUCCCCGGUUACUCAACAUUUCACAUACUCAAGUUGCUUUGCAUACUCUUAAUUCAAGUACCUUUUUACGCGAAUGUCGACAUUUGUAGAUGCCAACCCCCGGUUACUCGGUAUGAGAAUCAUUGGAGUAGAAUAACCCUUUUUUUUUUUAAUAUAUAUAUAUAUAAUAAAAUUCCCUCUAAGAGUAAUCAUGAGAAGAGUAUGACACUUAUUAACCAUAUUAAUUUCUUAUCUUAUAAAAUUAGAUAAAAAGAAGAAUUUUCAUCAAAUAUACAAAAUGUAGGCAUAAUUUUCUCCAUUUUACUAGAUAUACUUUCCUAUAGAUGUAAAAAUUAUAAUCACAUAAAAAUCAUUUCCAAAUUUCAUGAGAAAAGAAGUAUCAAAACCGCAUAUAUUUAUUUUAAAAGGAUAAGUGACAACAUUUUAUUUAUUUAUUAUAGUUAAUAACAUAUAUGUGUAUAAGGUUUUGGAAAAAUUUUGACAGAAUCUCCCCUUAAAAGUGGACUAAAACUCCCUGCCAGCAACCACAAGAAACACCAUUUAAGCACAAGAAUUAUAUCAAACACAACUAAAACCACAAGUAUCACACAUAUUUCUCCCCCCACACUUAAAUUACACAUUGUCCUCAAUGUGUAGGGAAGAAAUGAAACAAAAGAAGAAAAGAAAAGAAAGAAGUACUCCCCAAGUCAAUGGCUGAGAUCCUUAUCAGCCACUAAUCACGAACCACUGUCAAAAUACAAGUACCUACCACAUAGAAAACAGAAAAAUAAAAUGAAGUUAAACAUCUUAAGUUCCACAAGUUAAGAUAAUUAGGCAAGCAAGUUCAUCAACUAAAGAUAGCUUCUGCAGUGUGCCAAGUCAGUCAUCUCCCUCAGCAUCAUCGUCAUCCUGUGCAUCACGAUUGGGCGGUGGAUGAAUGCCCAAAUGAUCUUCAAUUCGGCUUAGACGAUUCCUAACGUCAGCGAACUGGAAUGCAAAGUCCUCCAUAUGAUCAAAAAGUCGCUGCCAAUUAGUUUGUGGUGGAGGAGGAGGUGGUGCUGCAGUAGAAGGUCCAGCUUCAUCCCGACCAUGUCUAGCCUUUUGUCUCCGCUCCUGAACAGGGCGUGGAAUGUCUCCCGUGCCAAUACCAAGGCGGCGAAGAGUAGUGAUAGUCAUCUCAGCACGUGGUGGAACAUACUCCCGCCGCAUGCCUUCCAACGGAACUUCAAAACGGGGGAAGAUUAAAGUCAGUAGACGAGGAAAUGAAAGUUUGAAGGAAGUUGUCUUACGCCUCGCCGUAGACCUAAUGUGGCUGAUGAUGAUGUUAGGCAAUGAAAUCCGAGCAUAUGGAGAUGUCCGGUUAUGGAACAUGUAAUCCAAGAAGUAGAUAUCGCUCUUGCGGACGUCCGUGUGCCCCGUCUUCUUUGGGAUGACAUUGUGAGCCAUCAUGUAAAUGAUAAGACGAUGACGAGGUUCGAAUACAUUCGCCAAUAUGGUCUCCUUUCUGGUAGAGCGAAAAGGUUGGUACUCGAGACCAAACCUAGCCAUGGCCAAUGAAGGAUCCCAUCUCCUAUUCGGGGGAACAAACUCCUUCUUCAAGUCUACUGGACGUCCGUCAUCCAUACACCCCAAAAUAGCAGCCAAAUCUUGCCGUGACAAGGUGAUUCGUCUUCCACGCACCCAGGACUCAACUAUUUCUCCACUAUGGCGCGCCUUACUUUCAAUGUUGGCGUAAAACUCGCGCACCAAGUCUGGGUAGUAAUGGUUUGGAAGGGUGAGAAUCGGAGCCCAUCCUAGCUGAGCAAAAGCCUCUGAGAUGUUGUACAUCAUCUCAACUGGUGGACUGACGUGCAUCUCAAACAAAAACUCCAAAUUAGCACGCGCCUCAUGCCACUCCUGAUUCCUGCGAGUAUUGAACCUAGCACUGUCAAAUACCGAUUUUUCCGCUCCACGGGAGGUGCCCUCACCAGGUCGACGGUUAAUUGGUGGAGGAGAAGGUGAAUUCUCCUCUUCAGUCACCUCCAUCUCUUCAUUAACCUCCCUCUCCUCACUACUAGAGGAUGAAAGUACCGCUCUUCUUCCCCUUGGCAUAGUACCUAAAAAAUCUUUCAAUUAUCCACAUGUACUACAACUCAUUAUUUGGCAACAAAAGUUCAGCAUUAAUCCAAAUAACCUCAAAUACAAUUGCUCAAGUUCUAAUCAUUCAAUGAUCGUACAAGACAUAUUUUCUGCCUAAAGUUGCCCAAAAUCACCAAAUUACACAAGAUAUGUAUCAAUUAUAAUUUAAUUAGUGAAAAUAGGAACAAUUAUGAUUAUAACUAUUUAGAAUUAACAAUAAUAAUAUGCUUUUAGCUAUAAUCAUGUUUAGGCAAAAAUUAAACUAAUUAACUCACCAAAUUACUCACUAUACACAAUGCACAUGCUUAAACAUCAUCAACUAACCAUUUUUAACCAUAAUUUAACAUCACCAAUGGCUCAAAAACAUCCUAAAUCCAUUUUCCAAUUUCCUCCAAAUAUAGCAAUUGUGAAUUUUGAAAGCAAUAAUGACCAACAACUUGCUACAUUUAAACAUGUAAACAUACUUAAACAAUCUUAAUAAGCAUGAAUAAAUUCAAAAAUGGUCAAAUACAUCAUCAAAUUUUCGACAUUAAAAGAUGUCAGAGAGCUCAGGAUAAAAAAAUAUGACUUUCUAAAAUCAAAAGAUUUGAUGAAGAAACUUACCUCAAUCACGUAGAAGGAUGUUUGGUGAUGCUAAAAAUGUCAAAAGCCUUAUGAAACAACCUCCAAUUGACCUCCAAUUGAAGAAAUUAGAGUUUAAGAACCCUAACCUUCAAUCCCUCAAAAACCUGAUUUUAGGUGUUUUUCUUGGAUUUUAAUCGGUUAAAAAGGGUAUAUGAAGCUCAAAAGGUGUUGGGGUGAUGCUUUCUAGCAAGAUUAUGGAGUAAAAAUAAAGAUUUGUGAGUUGGGUAGAAGAGAAGAAGAAAAGAGCGCCUGAAAAAUUAAGAAGAGAGGAAAAAAAUGAAGCUGAAAUCGCGUUUCUGAAGGCUAUAUUCAGACACAUAAAACGCGACUAAAAACGCGCCUUCAACUCGCGUUUUUAAAGUCGCGUUUCCUACACAAAUCUUGCAGGACUGAAAACGCGGUUACGUAUGAAAACGCGACUUAAAGUCGCGUUUAUCUGUGUCGCGUUUUCCAGUUUUGCUCAGGCGAGAAAACGCGACUUCCUCCAAAACGCGACUUCAAGUCGCGUUUUAAAGGCGCGUUUUCUGUUCUGUAGGCGCAGAAUUGAAAACGCGAUUCUGAGAAACGCGACUUUUAGUCGCGUUUUAUUGGAAAACGCGUUUUCUGCCUCGAUUUUUAGCAGAAUUUCAACUUUUGAAAAAUUACAAAAGGUACCCCAAUGACUCAAAAUGCAUCAUAGAUCAUUUGUUUGCCAAUUUUAAUGACUGGAACAAAUGUAAAACAUUAAAAACAUGCAUUUUACCCCUUUAUAAUGAAUCAAAAACACCUUUAACGCAAAUCGAGGGGUUGAGUUGCUUGAUCAAAGUUUGCCCUUUUCACCUCAAAUGGUCAUUCUUGCUUCCAUUUGCCAACCCUAUAACACAAAAACAACAAAUUAACUAAAACACUUAUUUAAGUCUAAAAAUCACAAAAAAUUAACACAAAUAACAUAAACAUUGGGUUACCUCCCAAUUAGCGCUUUUGUUUAUAGUCGUUGGCUCGACUGAAAGAGUUGAAUCACUUUAGAGCAUUAGGGAGCGAUUUUCUCCCCAUGGGUCGAAACUCCCGAGCCAAUCUACCAUGUGGUGAACCAUGCAUUGAUCUUCAUAGUCCAAUUUCCUCAAAUACCAAGGAGGAAUAUUAGACUUGUCAUAGAGAGGCUCAACUUCACCUUGGAGUGGAUUUUGCUUGUCUUUUCUGAAUUGGCUCAAAUUUUCACCAUUUCCUUCAUGGAAUGGCGAAUUUAUUAAGCCAACUUCCAUCCUUAUCUUCUCCUCCUUUGUUCCUACACCAUGAAAGUUAGUACCAAGGACAUUUAUAAAUUUAACUUCUUCGGUCCUUUCUUGGUUAACCUUUUCAUCAUAUGGCAUAUUAGAAACAAGAGCAGUAGGCUCUAUACUCCCUUCUUUAUUAUCCAAAUUGAAUUCCAAUUCCUCACCAUUAACCCGUAAUAUAAGCUUACCUUUUUCUACAUCAAUUAUAGUUCGUGCAGUGGCUAAAAACGGUCGUCCUAGAAUAAUUGGCAUUCUCACAUCUUCUUCAAUAUCUAAGACAACAAAAUCCACAUGUAUUAUAGAUUGUCUUACCUUUAUGAGCACAUUUUCCAAAAUACCCAUGGGACGUGUGAUUGACCGAUCCGCCAAUUGCAAUGUAAUAUUGGUAGCUUUUAGCUCUUGAAGUCCCAAUCUCCGGGCAACCGAUAACGGCAUAAGUGACACACUUGCACCUAAAUCACAUAAAGCAUUAGAAAAAUGCAAUUGACCAAUAGUGCAAGGAAUAGAAAAACUUCCCGGAUCUUUCAAUUUAGGAGGGAGUUUAUUCUUAAUCAAUGCAUUACACUCUUCCGUUAAUGCUAUCAUCUCAUUAUCUACAAUUUUCCUCUUCUUUGACAUGAUGUCUUUCAAGAAACGUGCAUAAGAGGGAAUCUGUGUUAUAGCAUCAAUGAAAGGAAUGUUAAUGUGCAAUUGUUUAAACAUUUUGAAGAACUUUUCAAACUCCCGAUCCUGUCCAUCUUUCUUCAACCUGUAAGGAAAAGGUAUCACAUUAGAAUUUAAUUUGGGAUGAAGUGCAUCAAUAUCAAUGAUAACAUGAUCAUUUUGACUUUCUUGCUCCCCUUCAAUUGCUUGCUUCUUGUCUUUUUCACCACCUGAAUUUUCAAAAUCGAAUCUCUCAACCGUUUUACCGCUUCUAAGAAUGAUUGCAUUGACAUGCUCUCUCGGAUUCACUUCGGUUUUACUUGGUAAUUCACCAAGGUUUCUAUUGUUGAUCACAUUGGCAAUUUGACCAAUUUGAACCUCCAAGUUUCUGUACAUCCCAGCUAAUUGGUCCAACCGCCCCUCAACUCGCUCGAAUCUAUCCGAAGUCACCUUAGCAAGUUUUUCCAUUGCGAUCUCCCAACUUGGUUUAGUUUCAGCCUGUGGUUGCCUUGGUUGAAAUCCCGGCGGAUUGGUUGGCCUUUGUUGAUUGCCUUGAUCUUUCCAUCCAAAGUUUGGAUGAUUUCUCCACCCCGGAUUGUAAGUAUUCGAGUAGGGAUUAUUUGGAGCAUUUCGGUUGUAAUUAUUGACAAAUUGUACCUGCUCAGAAUCAACACACUCAUUAAUAUCAUGUUCACCUCCACAGAAAGAGCAACAAGCUACGUGUGCAUUAGAUGAACUUGGACCAACUCCACCUUGUCUACUUAGCAAUUUCAUCACAUUAUUCAUUUGAGUACUCAGCAUAUUGAGAGUGUCCAUUUCUAUCAUACCUGCGUGACGUCUCGUAUUACCUCUUUCAUUGGCCCAUUGGUAGUUAUUUGCUGCCAUUUCUUCUAUCAAAUUAUGAGCCUCUUGGGGUGAUUUACCCAUUAAAGCUCCACCUGCGGCUGCAUCAAUAAUAGUUUUAGUGGAGAAAGAUAAACCAUUAUAAAAGGUUUGUAUAAUCAGCCAUUCGGGUAGUCCAUGGUGUGGACAUUUCCGUAACAAAUCUCUAAACCUUUCCCAUGCUUCAUAUAAUGAUUCUCCUUCCAUUUGACUAAAACCAGUGAUAUCCAUUCUUAGCUUAGCAGUCUUACCAGGUGGAAAAUACUUAUUCAAAAAUGCCCUUGAUAAAUCAUCCCAUGUGGUAAAAGUGUUAGGAGCAUGAGAGUGUAACCACAUUUUUGCCUUAUCUCUUAAUGAAAAUGGGAACAACCGUAACCUUAUAGCAUCAUCACUAACUCCAUUCAUUUUAAUUGUAUCACAUAUUUCUAAGAAUGUAGCUAAGUGUGAGUUAGGAUCUUCUACAGCAUUACCUCCAAAUUGAGAUUGUUGAACCAUUUGGAUAAGUGAUGGCUUAAUCUCAAAGUUGUUAGCAUUUACCGUAGGCCUUACUAUGCUUGUUUGAGAUCCUUGUGUUCCCGGUAGAGCAAAAUCUCGUAGAACUCGCCUAUUUGCUUCAUUUUCAGCCAUUUCUUCUUCAAAUGGUAGUUCUAUCAAGAUUUCCUCUAUAGGUUGCCAAAUCUCUUGUUCCUCUUUCUGUUGUGUGUGCCUCCUUUGUCUACGUAGUGUCCUCUCAAUUUCUGGAUCGAAAGGUGCGACUUCUCGAGACUCCCGGUGCAUACACUACAAACAGAAAUAAGGGAUAUUAUGCAACUUCAAUGGUAAAAACACUGAUUAUAAUAUAAGAUUAAAUAUAAUCUAAAAAAUAAAGCUGUCUAAAUUAAUAAAGAUGAUUAGGCUCUAAUAUUGCCGCUCCACGGCAACGGCGCCAAAAACUUGACGGGUUUUUACUUUAAGUGCAAGUUUAAUUCCGAAUUUACACCCGUUGGACUGCAAGUAUACAGGUCGCAAUUGUAGUACGAGAUGUGUAUCGGGUCGAUCCCACGAGGAGCAAUUUAAAACAAUUAUUAGAUACUAAUUUACUCUAUUAUUUAGACUCACAAUUAAUUUGAGCAGAAACUUCAGAAUUAAAUUCAACUACAAGAGUUCUUAACUAGAAAAUUGCAAUAUCUCAAGGGGAGUAGAAUUCACUAAAUAUUAAGAUCUAGGGAUGUAGAUUCCACUUAUGACACAAAAGAUCUAAAAUGAAUUAAUUCAACACUUGUUACUGCUCUUGUUUAACCAAGGAUUCAUUUCCAGAAAUACCAAAAUCACAUUCUCAUGAUAAUAAUGGGUUAAAACAGAUUAGUUUGUCCUAAUCUCUUGGUAAAUACUAAAUCUGUUCUUAUUCACACAUGAAAUGCAGAUUUCAUCCACUUGAAUGUAUUUCUAUUCUCAUGAAUAUACAACUCAAGUUCUACUUGUGUCAUUCCAUUAUUUUUACCAUUUCUUAAUGAAUAAAAACAACUAUAAACCUGCUAUUGGUGAUCAAGCAACAACAAGUAAUCAAGCAUACACAAGUAGACAAGUUAAUACAACAUAUAAUAAGAAUGAAUAACAAUCAAUUCAUAUCAUUUGGCCAUAAGUUUCAUCUACUCCCUAGAUAAAGAAAAUUAGCUACUCAUGAAUGAUAAAACACUCAUAACUUCAUUAAUGUAAAUCAUCAUGAAUUACAAAUACAAACAGAGUAAAGAAAGUCUUAGCCAAGAUAUGGUGAAACCUUCCAAAAAUCUCCUUUGUCUUGAACUUAGAUGAUUACAAGAUGAAAUCCCAAUUGCCCCUUGCAAGUCCUAGGUAGAGAGAAUAUGUUCUUCUGUAAGAAGCUAAGCUACGAAUGGAUGUCCAGACCUCUCCCUAUAUCUCUGCAUAAAAAAACACUCAAAGGCUUAUUUUUCCAAGUCAAAUUCCAACUUUUGAUUCCCCAAAUCUAACUUUGUUAUAAUUGUCAAUAACCAAUGUUUUUGACUUGAAAAUAAGCCACCUUUCUUGCCCUUUUGUCUUCUGAAGCAUGUGCACCGAAUUCCCUUGCAUCUUAUAGCUGGAAAGUGGUAUGAACACAAGAGAAUUGGCUGAGUCAAAUUGCAGAAUUUCGGCUAUAAAACGCGCCUACACAAAAUGCGUCAAAAACUCGCGUUUUAUCUACUCGCGUUUUCACUCUGGCCUUAUUUCAACUGCGAUUUUCUCAUUGAUAAAGGCCAAACUAGCUUUUGUACAAAACAUAAAAGUUGUAGCCCUUUGAGUUAGCUUUCCAAUUCUUCAAGAAUCAUCCAAAUCUGAGCUUUGUAGCCUGAGAUAUGAUCGAAAUACUGUCACCUGUUCAAACCUCUGUUUUAACUUCCGACCACAGAAUGCAGCUUCUGUAUUCCAACGUUUUGCCCAUGAAGAUGGCAAAAAUGGAUUUCGAUGUCUUCAUACGAAUUGUAGGUCUCUUUCUUAGCUUUAAAAUGGUAUACAGAUCACCUCAAUCCGAUAAGUGUAGCUCCAGAUAUGAUCAAAAUACUGAAGAGUGUCAAAACUGACUUGUAUUGCAUUUCCUCACUUGAACGUUUUUCACUUCAUUCUUCUUGUUGCCACUUGAAUUCAUCACCAAAUCUCUAUUUUUUACCUCAUUUGACAUCCUUUGGUGAUUGAAUCAUCAUUCCUGCAUAAAAAUGAAGUUUUACCAUUAAAAUCAAUAGAAAUGCAAUAUUAUCCACUUUUACCAAAAAUAUAUAAUUUUACCAAAAACCUCUUUAUUUUAUUUAUAAAACUAAAUAAUCAACUCAAAAUUAACUAAUAAAAUGCACUUAAAAAUACGUAAAAUAAACUCUUAUCAAUUGCAACACUUAAGGUAAAUUUGAUAGUAGUUUGGAUUGUAAAUUAUUUGAGAUAAUUUUGUAAAAAAAGUACUGUAACACUUUUUUGAUAUGAUGUAUGCGAGAUAAAAAAAUGAUUGAAAAAUGUGUUGAUGAUGUAAGCAAGUUAGUAUUUGUAAAUAAGGUAUAAAUAAUGUAUAAUAAUUUACAAUCCAAACACAACAUACUUGAACAUAGAAUUUGGUGCAAUUAAAUACUAUCCUAAUAAGGAAAAGUUUUGAGCCAUGUAGCAAAUCUUGACCCUGGUUGACACAUUGGAUAUUUUGCCUAGUUUUUCUCUUACAAGUUUUUUAAUAAUUUUAAUUAUAGUAAUCUCAAAAAACUCUUCAAAAUUUUUAAAUUACCUUUCAAAAUACCCAAAAACACAAAAAAAAAAAUUUUUCCUUCCUAUUUCCUUCUUUUUCCUCCCCCACCUCGACCUACCAUUACCUCCGCCGCCGACAAAACCGGUUGACGCUAGCCAUCUCUUUUUUUUUUUCCUCUUCUCCUCCUCCCUCUUCUCCGUCCUUCUCUCCUCUCCUCCCUUGUCCUCCUCUCUCCAGCCACCUUUCUCUCCCCUCUCCUUCCCUCUUUACUCGAUGUGGUCUCAUGACCAGAUCGUGCAAGGGAGAGGAAUAGGGAGAGGGAGAAGAGGAGAGAGAGAGAGAGAGAAAAAAAAGCAAAAAAAAAAACUUGCUACCGUUGUCGGUGUCGAUGCUGAUAGGCGGCAGCAACUUGAGGCAAUCGUGAGGUGAGGGAGAAGAAGAAAAGAGCAAAGAAAAGGAAAGCAAAAGAAAGAAAAAGAAAAGGAAAAAGAAAAGGAAAGGGAAAAAGAAAAGAAACAAAAGUUUUCCAUCUUAAAAAUUUUUUCUACAAAUUCUACAGUAAGUUACAGUGAAAUUUUAGGUAAAUACCCAAAAAACUCAUUUACCAAACGGUGCUCUUAUUAAAGACAAGUUUAAGAAUGUAAUUUAGCCAAGUUAUUUGACUUGAAUUCGGGAGUAGCUUUGCAGCUAUUCUUCUUCAAUUGCAUUGAAUAUUUCAUUGACAUUUGCAAUUCAAUUAUACAUAUAUAUAUAUAUAUAUAUGUAUGUAUAUGUAUGUAUGUAUGUAUGUAUAUGUAUGCAUUGAAUAUUUCAUUGACAUUUGCAAUUCAAUUAUACAUAUAUAUAUAUAUAUAUAUAUGUAUGUAUAUGUAUGUAUGUAUGUAUGUAUGUAUAGACAUUGUUAAAGAAAAAUAGCAAAUUUAGAGAAAGAAAAACAAGUUUAGAAAAUUUAAAUAUGAGGGUAUUAUUGACAAUUCAUCACGUUUGAUAUUAGUAUAUGGCCCUACUAUCACUUCAAGGGUGCUAAGUGAGAUUUUAAAAAGUUUAGGGGAGCUAAAUGAUAUUUCAUGAAACCUCAAGGGAGGUUUCUGAAAUUAUCCCUAUUACAUUUAAUAUUGAUUGAAUAGUUGCACAGCAUUUUGAAUCUUACUCCCACUUUAUGAACUUUUGAAAAGUCCCCCACCAUUUUUGAAUAUUGGUUCUUCCGGUUUCCAUCUCCUAAAUUCUCCCAAAUAUUUAAGAUGAUGGGCAAUACUUCUUUUAAGGGGUAUUUUAUUUCUUCAGUUAUAUUUUUUCAGCUGGAAAAUUCAAUGUCGGGAUAAUAUCUCGCAUUUAUCAAGGUGUAUUUUCAUAAUUUUCCGGUAGAUAAUUGUUAGUUUACUAGGCAAGCUCUUGUUGCAGGGAUGACUUUAGCAAUUCAGCCCUGAUGAUGGCUUUUAUGCUAUCUAAUUGCUCUAGUUUUUUUCUGCCCUCCGCUAGUAGUCUAAGGGGCAAUCAAUUCCUUUUGACAAGGGAAUUACAGUUAAAAGUUCAUUUUAUUGCUCAAUUGGCAAGAUUUGUCUGGUGAGUUCGUGUUUGAAUUUUUUAAGAAAUGUUACGUGAAUAUUCGUAGUCGCAAUAGGUAUAGUUUAUCGGAGUUAUAUGCCUUGAUUUUUUGGUGUUCUUAAACUCCUAAUUAAGUUGGUGUUCACAAGGAUAAUUAAAUCACCACACGAAUUAAUGGGUUGCAAAGGCAUUGCGGCUUUUUACUAGAAAGCAAGGAAAAAAAGAUUUUUUCCCAUUGGGGAAUAUUGUCGAACACCUGGCGUGUGUCAGAGGCCAGUCAAAAGAAAGAAAACUAGAACUAAACUAAAAAGCUAAAACUAAAGCCCGUCCUUUGCUUCUGUACGUUGUCCCCUUUUAAAGAAACAAAAGAAAGAAGACUAAAAGCUAUCUAGAUGGUCCCCACACAUGUGGACAAAGCCUCCAAAGUACUUCUUGUUCCAAGUCUCUUUACGUUGCUUACUUUGAAGAGUCCAAAUGACUAAAUGCCUUUCACUAGCUUGUGGUCCCCACUAAUUCAAGGGCCAAGGGUUGAAGCCCUUAGAAGUCUCCAUUUUCUCCAUAAAGUCUCUCCUUUUUGGUAGUUUUCUGUUUCAUCCCUGAAAUUAAGUCCAAAUACCAAAUAUAAGUAGAUAUCAACAAUUAAUAUAAUAUUUGGCAGGGAUAAAAAGGGAAAUUAAUACUAAAAUUACUAACAGAUGAUUCCCUAUCAGUGUUCACAAGGAUAAUGAUGGUAUUCAUGAAAAAAUAUUUUAAGAUAUUAGUGCGAGCAAUUUUGAAUAUGGUAUUUACAUGUUAAAUUUUACGGAUGAUUGAGGCCUCAAUAAUGGAUCCCUUGAAGACCUAUGCUACGUGUCUAUUUUUUUUUUUAAAAAUGUUUAGAAGUGGCUUUGAAACAAUCUACAGUAGAGUUGCUGUAUUGCAACUAGAGAAAUCAUUAAUUCUAUUCUAUACAAAUAAAGUGUGAAUAAAUUCACACAAAAAAGUGUGGAAUGCUUUAGGGUAUUGUUUUUAUGUACUGUCAAUGUAUACUCAUACGAUAUUUUUUACGCAUUGUCAAUGUUCAACAUGGACACAUGUACAAAUUUUUGUUUCUGUAAAUACUACAAUAGCUAGUGCCUCUUCAAAAAAAAAAAAAAAAGAAACGGAGAAAGGCUUGAAAUUCUUUUCUAGGUUGUGUGUUCUUUGAUUUUAUAAAUCAAAAAAAAAAAAAAAAGUACAACGUCCAACCUAACAUCCAUGUGCCUUGUACUCUUUCUUUUGUACCUAAAUUAAUUCCAUCCUGUUGUCCUCAAAGGAAAUACGUGGUUAGAAUUUCAUUUGGGUAAAUAGCAAAACAAAUAAUGCAUUUUUCUAAUGGGUUAUUGCUUAAUAUCUGGCUUGUGGCGCCUGCUGCCUUCCUUAUAGUUGUUUAUCCACAAAUUUUGUCAACCCAAAAUGAAGGGAGCAAUGUCAAUUCUCUUCCUUCUCAGCCAUCUCUUAGUUAUUUCUAGAUUCGUGAAUGUUGUAUCAAAUGGGAAGACAAAAAAAAAGUAAACGGAAUUAUUUAGUCAAUAGCUAUUCUUUAAUUUGAAAUGACGUGUGUUAAUGAUAGAAGAUUAAGAAAAAAAAAUGUUAUCAUUAGCCUGUGGACUGGGCAAAUGGCCUAAGGCAUUAUAGUAUUUGGGUUGGUAUCUUGCCAGUGUUUGCAUCAUUUUAAUAAUCUUAUAGUCUUUUCUCUUCUUCUUGGAAGCAACUGGAUUAAUAAACUAAUCUUCUACAUUGUUUGCUCCUAGUUAUCUUCAGUCGCGAUAUUGAGCAAUACCAUUACAAUUGAUUGGAUGUAAGUCAAUCUUCAAUUGCAGUUCACUGAAUAAAAUGUAGAGAAUUACCCUUUGUAGUUUAUAGAUGAUGAAAGACAAAUUUCAUGAUGAAGUGCUAUACACACUGAGCCUAUACACUGAUUUUGUGCAAAGAUAGUGAUUCUUCCUUAUGUGUAUUUGUAUGUUGUACUUGGGAGAGAAUCAAUUUUGUGGGAAUGCAUUUUUUCACUAGGAAUGCAUUUUCAAGGCAGGCUGGGGAUUUUUUUCCUUUUUUUUUUUUUAAUGUAAAGUUCUUGAAGGACACAGGUUCGGGUUGAAUACAUUAAGCAAGACUUUGUUUGAACGUGUAUGGAACUGCUAAUUGGUAAUGCACAACAAAUUGUCCAUGGAAACUCUCUCUUGCUUGCAAUCAUAAGUCAGGUAAAUUGCCCAACUGGAGCCAUCAUGGGUACAUCCUUGGAAAAAUGAUAAAAUGUGAUAAAAGCAUACACCAGUCUAUCUCUUUCCUUUUUCAUCCACAAUCGCAAAAUCAUUCAACUAUGCUAGUGUUUGUACUUUAGCAUCCACUCCUACAUGUCCCUUACCAGUACAAGUUGGAUCAGUUAGUAAUAUCGUGCCACCUCCUUAUAAAAAAUCGUAUGUUUGAAUUCUGCUAUCUAUAUGAUGAUCGUAUUGGUGAGCAAUGUGUAAGAACUCCUAUAAAUGACUUAUAAUCUGGUAGACUUACCCCUAUCCAUGGCCAUGUUCACCAUUCAAAUUUUUUAUUAUUAAAAAAAAAAUCUUACAUGCCGCAUGUUCCAGUUGGUUAUACACGCAGGAUGCACUGAACAUCCAUAUGUAUGUAUACCAAAAAAAUAUACCUCUCGUAAGUGUAGGCUAACUUCUACUUAUAUAUAUAUAAUUAUAUAAUUAUAUAUAUAGAUUAAAAUACAUAAAUUAAUGUAUACUUAGGGUCCGUUUGUUUCGGGUGAAAAUGUUUUUCAGGAAAAUAUUUUCCUAAUUUCUCGUGUUUGGUUGCACAAAAGUUACUGAAAACAUUUUCCUAUGUAAAAUAUUUUCACUCAUCUUAUGGAAAACAACUUCCCUUCCAAACUUACUGAAGUUGUUUUCCGAAAUGCAUACAUCCCGCUUGUAGUAUGUUCCAAACUUAUUGAAAACAUCUUGUAGUAUGUUCUUUUUUUUUUUUUUUAGUGUAAACAGGAGGACUCGAACCCAAGACCUCUUUCUUACACUCCCUCCCCCGUACCACCCAACCCUCCCCCUAGUAUAUUCAAAAUAAAAAAAAACCUCAUCCUGCUCAUCCUAUGCUAGUAAUUAAUUAUGUAUAAUAGGGACAUUCUUUUCUAGAGAAACUUUCAGCAGUGAAAGUGCAAGAUAUAUGUCACAAUAAGCAUUGCAUGUGAUUGAUAUUUGACACUAAAUGGCCAACAAUUUGUUUAUUGCUUAAGGAGAUAUUUUUUAUUCAUAUAUACAUUUCCCCAAGAUUUUUUAAAGUUAAACAAUGAGAUAAAUUUUCUUAUUUUGCAUGGGAAGAAGUAUGUAGUUAUAAUGUGUAGAAAGUAAAGAUAGAGAUAAAAGUGAAAAUAUUUCAAAAGUUAAACAAACACCAGAAAAAUGAAGUAAGAAAAUAUUUUCAAUAAGCUAACCAAACACCUGAAAAUGAUGAAAGGGAAAUGAUUUUCAUGAAAAAUUACUUCCACGGAAAAUAUUUUCCCAAGGAAAACAUUUUACUUUCAACCAAACAGACCCUUAGUGCAAUCAUUUUUGCUUAGUAAUUCCCUCAUAUGUCCUUUCCCUAAUACUAGUUUUAGUGUUGUUUUUAUUACUCUGAAAAUAAUUAGUAGUAUAUUUAUUGACAAAGAUGUACAUUAAAUGUGAGCACGGCAAUGUAGGACAAUCACAGAAGAAAAAUGAACAUUAUUUUAGGAUAGAAGGAAUAACUAUUUACUGCUUUAGUAUUAUAAUAAUUCCCUCAGUUCCAUUUUAAUAGUCUUGUUUUUCAUUUUUAUCUAUCCCAAAUUAUAAUUCACUUUCUAAUUGAAAAAUAUAAUUAAUUUUUAAUUUCUUUAAAUACUCUUAUUCAACUUAUUUUGUUAUCAGUGAGCCUAACCUAUCCUAUUCAAUAAUUGCUCCAAUCGGGUCUCAGACGGAAUGGAAGAUACAACAAUCAUGAAGAUAAAAUAUUUCUUGAUACAUUUUUUAACAGGAUACCGUAUAUAUUUUAUAAAAAAUAGUUUCUACUGAGAACCAUAUACGUUUCUACUGAACGAUAUUAUAUAUUCUUCAAAAUUAUGAUUUUCCUAUUUUUGUAGCCUGAGACCACCAAAUAAGCGUGCCCGGCCCCAAAGAGGAAUGGGGAGAGGUAGGGUUUGGUUUAGACCCAUUAUUAUAUACCUUUGAGGUUUAUGUUAGCUAAUUGCUGUCCUCCUAGACAGUAGUCCAUCGUACAAACAAUUCGUUUUGACAAGAGAAUCACAGUUAAAAGUCCACCAUAUUUCUCAAUUGGUAGGAUAAUUUGUCUGGUGAGUUUGUGCAUGGACCUUUAGCAAAUGUGACCUGGAGUUUUACGAAGAAUUGUUACCUUAUUAUUGUCUGGGGCUUUGGGUGCCCGCAAACUUCUAAUUGAGUUGGCAUUGGCAAGGAUAAUGAUGGUAUUGAUGAAAAAAAUAGUUCGUGAUAUUAAUAUAAUAUGAACAGCAAGUAUUAUGAAACAUUUACUGCUUUAGCAUCUAGACUUGGCAUCGUUUACUUGGAAACGCACUUCGGCCGAAAGUAGACAAAAGCUGACCCCUUUAGGCCCCAGGAAAGGGCCCCUAAUGUAUCCACAGGCCAGGCCAGGAAAAUUAAGUGUCUUGCCGACGACAUUUGACCAUUUUCAUAUCAUGAGAAAGUUGUAAACCUUGAACUAAUGUUUAUACAAAUUUGAUCUCAGAGUGAAUAGAACAUACUACAAUAAUGGAGAUAUCCUGCAGCAGCAGCACUAAUUGCUUCGAGUUCGCUCUAGAAUAUCUUCGCCGCUUGGAUGAUACCGGCACAGGGUACAUUUAUCUUGUCUGGAAUCUGAAGAUCGGACUGAGACUAUUACAAAGCUUUGAUCGGUAUCUGACACUGUGGAGGAGGGGGAACCAUGAAACCUGUUUGGAACAAGAUGAGGAGGAGAAGGAUGUUACGUCUUCCAGAAUUCAAGAUCUGAUUAUCAAGAGAAUGCAAGAUCUUGAAUUUGUUUGCAGCGAAUGCUCGGAUCAUUCGACUCGUGUUGGAAGUGAGCUCAUCAUAUUCCUGAAGGCAAUCAAGUUGUUUUUCGAAACAGUUAUCAACGAAUCGUGCAUCAACUAUCUGCUGGACUGUUACUGGCUGCCAGAUCCAGAGCUCGUUAUUGAUUUCAUCGAUUCUGUUUCCGAGAUUCUGGAGGAAAUUAAAGAAUCCCAUUUCAAACGCCUUGACGAGCGGCUAAUGUUCUUGAAGAGUUUCAUUCGCUUUGCUAUGCUUCGCGGUGUCGAGGGUCAGCAAUUGAUAGGUCUCUUGAUUCAUACUGAAGAGGUGUCUAUGAAGGCAUUUCGCCUGGCUUCUAUAUCGUGGUCUGACUGUUUCAGAUAUAUAGUGCGGCGUGACUGUUCCGGACAUAAUCCUCCUCCUGAAGUAAAACCUCAAAUUUCACGGCUAAUAAGUGAGAAGAUUAAUCCCACUGAGCCCCAAGUGCUAGAAACUUACAUCCAUGUCUUGACUGCUUCAAAGUUAUCAAUAUCAUCAGACACUUCAGCUCUGGAGAAGAGUAAGCAAACAGUAGCUGACUUUAUGGAUCGUCUCGUUCAGACUACUAUGGAGCUACUGCAACCUUGUACUAGUACUCCAGUCCCGAUUAUGGAUCAAAUGCUCGAAAUUGUUGAGGGGCUAAGACUCCUGACAAUCCUUCUCAGGCAUCAGGAGAAGUUCAAAGAGCUAUGCCAUGAAAUGAAGAAUCUUAUUGGAGUUGUGGCCUGUGAUGCAGCGGUUGUAAUUUUCUCUCUUUUUGUGAAUCCAAUCGAAGAAGGCUUGGCCAAGGAAACCGAUCUUGCUCUUUUUCAUUUGCUCAAAGUGCUCAAGCUUAUGAGGGCAGAAUUUACACAGGUCCAUCCACUAACAUCAGUAUCGGGAUUUGGUUUUCCUAGGAUCUGUGAGUUGGGCUCUAUGGAUUUUCUCCUAAGAAAUCUACAGGAACUAGCAAAGUCUGAUGAAAUUAAUGGUUCGAAUGCUUUUCCAGUGGAUAAAAUCCAGACUAUCCAAGAAGAUUUUGAAUUUUUAAGAUCUUUUCUGGAGAAAAUUAAGGAGCAACGCAAUCAGAACGAAAAACUUCAAGCUUUCUGGAGUCAUGUUAUGGAGAUUGCAUAUAAAGCAGAGUUAGUGAUUGACUGGACACUUGUUGGUGAUGGAUGUGAAUAUUUUUUGGAUGAUGUUGCUAGAGAAAUCAAUGUUAUGAAGAUUGAGGCUCAAGAGAUCUAUGACAGCAUAAGCUAUGUUGGUGAAACCAUCAAGGGAGUUACCAAGACUUUCACUCGCGUUCCAUCACAAGUUGCUGUCGCCGCGUACAAUGAAGAGCUGGUGCCUCUCGACGACGAGGUGAAAACUAUCACUGAUGGUCUUACAAGAGAAGGAUCAAGGCAGUUGGAUGUGGUUCCCAUCGUGGGUAUGCCUGGUCUUGGUAAGACCACAUUAGCCAAUAUAGUUUACAAUUCUCCAUCAGUAAUGUUGCAUUUCAAUAUUCGUGCUUGGUGCACUGUUUCUCAAUCAUAUAGCAUGCACAACAUGUUAGUUCAGAUAUUGGGUGGUAUUGAAUCUGGGAAACUUGAACAAUAUCAAAAGAUGGAUGAACAUGAUUUGGCUGUAAAGCUAAAACAAGUUUUGUUGAGAAAUAAGUAUCUCUUGGUUUUGGAUGAUUUAUGGGACGCUAAGGCUUGGAAUUUGUUGGAGAGAUCAUUGCCCGAUGACGCCAAUGGAAGCAGGAUUCUCAUCACGAGCAGAUUGCAGAAUUUGUCUCUGCAAUUCAAACCUGAUAGCAAGGUUCACCAUCUCCGCCGCCUUACCGACGAAGAGAGUUGGAAUUUGCUACAGAAAAAGCUAUUUGGCAAAAAAGGUUGUCCUCCAAGAUUAAGUGGAGUUGCUUCUCAAAUAGCAAAAUCUUGUAGGGGCUUACCUCUCACAGUUGUCCUUGUUGCUGGAAUUCUUGCUAAUACUGCAGAAGACUGCUGGAAAGAAGUUACAAAGAGUCUAACUUCUAGUAUUGUUCUUGAUGAUGAAUACUGCAUGAAGACACUUGAGCUGAGUUACACUCAUUUACCGGAUGAUUUGAAGCCGUGCAUUCUUUACUUUGGUGCAUUUCAAGAAGACAAAAAUGUUCCCGUCCGAAGGUUGUUUUGGCUCUGGAUCUCUGAAGGAUUUGUACGAAAGACCGAAGGAAUGAGAUUAGAGGAUGUGGCAGAUGACUACUUGAAGGAUCUGGUUGAUAGAAGUUUAGUUAUAGUUUCCGAACAAAGAAUUAAGGGUGGUGCCAAAGCCUGCCGAGUUCAUGAUUUGGUACAUGAGUUUUGUGUGAAAAAAGCCCAAGAAGAAAACUUUCUACAUAUUUUGCAUAGUCAGAAUGAUUGUUUUAUUCUUACUAGCCCAAGCAACCCCCUUCGAGUUUGUGAUCGAAGUGCUAGGAAUUUGAUGAUUCGGGAGUCAAUGCUAGAAUUUCCCAAUGCCCGCAGUUUGUUAUGGUUUAAGGAGGAUGAUUUGGGGUUUUGGUUACCUAAACUUCUAAGAGUGUUGGAUUUGGGGAAAUUGGUGUUUGUUGAAUGUUUUCCGAUGGAAGUACUUCUGUUUGCUCACUUGAGAUACUUGGCUCUUCGUCUUUACUUGAUAGAUUCUAUCCCAGCUGCAAUAGCAGACCUCUCAAGGUUACAAACUUUUCUGGUACGAGGAGAAAAUGUCUCUGAUUUAUUGUUACCCAAGACUAUCUGGAACAUGAAGACAUUGAGGCAUCUAUGGACUACAAAUCCCGAAGUUGGUUUUAUUUUUCCUGUUGAAAAUCUUGAAGUAUCCUCAGGUUUGGAUCGUUUAGACAGUUUAAGCCUUGCCAUUGACCCCUCCUCUCAAAGCUUGCAAAAGAUACUGACAAAGUUACCAAACAUCCGCAGGCUAAGAUGUAAGAAGACGGCAUCAAGAGAAGAACCUACCAGAGUUGGCGACGGGAUUCUCAUGUUUGACUGUUUGAAUCAACUAGAAUCACUUACUCUGCGUUACUUUGAUAGGUACAGAUUUAAAUUCCCUUUGAAUUUGAAGAAGUUGACACUCCGAAUAACUAAACAGCCAUGGAGUGAAAUCUCAACAAUUGGAAAGUUGCUCAAACUUGAAGUGCUUAAAUUAUGCCAUAACUCCUUCGUUGGGGAAGCAUGGGAAAUGAAAGAAGAGGAGUUCCCUAAGCUCCGAGUCUUGAAAUUGUCAAGGUUGUGCGGCUUUUGCAGCUGGACUUCAUCUUCUGAUAAUUUUCCCCGUCUUGAGAAAUUGAUUGUGCACAAUUGUUGGAUGUUGGAAGAGGUGCCUUCUUGUUUAGGGCAAUGUCCGACUCUUGAAAUGAUUGAGGUGAGUGGGUGUCGCGAGUCUGUUGUAAAUUCAGUGAAGCAAAUUCAACAAGAACAGAUAGAUAUGGGAAAUGAGAUUCUAAAGAUCUUAAUUGAAGAUUGCAUUGAUACAUGGAGUUCCAGCGAAGACGAAGAAGGAUGGUAAAUCCCUCACAAGAAGUCUAAUUCAAGUUUCUUGAAAGCAAUUUCUGGAGAAUCCCCCUUUUUUGUUGUUGACUAGAUGCAGCUAGCCAUAAAAUGUCAAUUCUUUUUUUCAAUUCUGCUACAGAUUGAUAUGAUGCUUAUAGUUAGCUAAGCACAAGUUUAUACGCACGCAAGAUACACUUUUCCUUCUUUGUAUUUCGGUCAGAGUAGUACAGAAACUUUUUAAUUGCUUCUCUUUUUCCUCAACAAAGAACCAUACACUCAAUUAAUUAAUAUGUUGAAGCAUCCCUUUUUUUUUAUUGCAACAAAUAUUAAGAAGACACAAGAAAAAAAGGGAAAAGAAACUUGGUUAUGUUGCUUUUUACCUUUGGAACUAUUGUAUAUAAAAGAAGUUACAUAUUAAGUGGGAAGGAGUGCUUAAAUUAGGGACUUGAGCUCCUCUCCAUUUUCUACAAUGUACAUCUGGUGGAUUAAUUCAACCUAAAAAGAUGAUGUCCAAAUCCCUUAAAUUAGUAGGUGGUCGUCUUCCUGCAUGCUCAAGUCAAGUCCCUUAAAUUAGUUCUUUCUGUUUUCUUCUUUUUAUUAUUCUUGUUGUGUAAUAUUAUAUUUGUUGCACCUUGGUCCCUAGGGUGAAAAGACAUACAUCUUUUCAUUAUUUUUAAGUUCGUUGUUGGCACAAGAAGACAAUUGAUCCGUUUGGAUAGUCUAAUUUGGCGAAAAAAAUUUGCAAAUAUCAUCCUAUUUACAUCAUAAACACAAUUUUCAACAACUUUUUUUUUAAUCUUAUAUAUAUCACAUCACAAAAAAUGUUAUAUAAUAUUUGAAAUAAUUUUUUCUCCAAAUGAUCUCUUAUCCAAACACACUCAUUAAUAUAUUCAAAUAGCGGAGCCUUUUUUUUUCCCAUUUACCUUUUCUAAAGCCAACAUCUUUACUAAUCAAAGUAUAUUUUUAGGCAAAACUACUUUGUGCAUUCCAACUUAUCUUUUUUCGUUCAUGAUUUUUUUCAUCUACGUUUUGGUGAAAAUAAUUAACACAUUUUUAUACUCCAUUUUACUGAAAUUUUUUAUCACAUAACAACAGAGAAAAAUUUGAGCACGUGCAUUGGAAAAAGAAGAUAUUACAGAAGCAACUUUUAGAAGAUUACAUAAAAUAGGGACAUUCAGUAAUGUAAUUAUUGUUGUUUCUCGGAUAUAAUUUUCUAAGGUGAUAUUUGAAAAAGGGUAAAAAGAACGAGUGAUAUUAAAGAAAAAAACAGGUGCAACUUUUUCAAAAUUCAUACAAAGAAUAAACAAAAAAAAUCACUUUACAUCCUGAAUGCAUCAUUACCACUUAAUUCAAUCUCUGAAGUUCAGUAGAACCAUGAGCAUUUUGGGAUCCAUGUGCAUGAAUUUCACUUGUGAUGAGGCUUCCACAUCUGAUAUUAACUUUGGCGACUUGAUCUUCUUUGUGCACUUCCUUUGCUGGAGGGGGUUUCUGGAGAAUUAAGCAAAUACGGAAAACAGGGAGAAUCAAUAAAACCAUAGAAGGGGGAUGAAAACUACAACUGAAUGCUUGAAUCUAAUUCCUACUGACUGUUUUUAGGCCUAUUUCUACAGAUUGGUAAAACCAUAUAAUGCAAUCAAAAACUUUUGGAUUAAAGAAAAAUAAAGAUAGAAAAGAUGAAAAAUGGUAUUGAUUAAUUUUUUUUAUUUGUCGAUGUGUCUUGAUUGCUAAACUGAAAGCAUUAUAUGGAAAGAAAUUGGAAACGAAUGGAAUUUUAAGGGAGAAGGGGUCACUUGGUUAGUAAGAUAUAUUAAGGAUAGUAAUUAAUACAAAUUCAAUAACUUAAAAAGAGUUAACCACUUGGUUGGUCUAGUAGUCAGGGAGAACUUUUAAAAUCUCUUCAGAAAAAAUAAAAAGAAUUCAAAAUAGUUGUGGUUGUAAUGACAGAAAACAAAUUGAUCCACUGGAGGGUGGGAUUGGUUGGGUGGUACAGGGGAAAGUAAUGUAAGUCAUAGGUCUUGGGUUCGAGACCUCUCACUUACCAAAAAAAAAAAAAUCCACCGAUGAUAUAUUCAAUUAAAACUAUCUUAACAACUUCUAAUUGAUUGGUUAGCAUGAUAUUCUUAAAAAGCCAACCUUGAAUUAAGACUAUAAUUUAAGGUUAAUAUAGUAAAUUCACAAUAAAGGUUAAAAAAGUCAUUUUACACAAACUCCUACACUACACUACUGUUAUACGAGGUGCAAAUGAAAACUAAAGAAACAGGCAAACGUUAGAAGUUAGAACAAGACAACUCGAGGGAUCAAAUUAGCAAUUGUACUUUUACCCCCAAGAAAUUAACCCAGAGAGAGAAUGUAAAUAGUAAAACAUAUUUUUACUGUUCACUUUACCAUUUACCUUUUUGUUCAACUCUUAUAAACUAAAGCCCUUAACCUUAAAUAGAGCUGUAAACGAGUCAAAUUGAAUCAAGUAUUUUAUAUUUGAGCUCUGUUCGUUAAGCGAUUCAAACAACGUUCGUGUUCGUUCGUUAAUUUUCGAAUUUCAAACUUGUGUUCGUGUUCGGCUAGUUAAGCAAAAUUCAUGUUCGAGUUCGGCUCGUUUAACAUAAACAAGCUAUUUGUGAACAUGCUCGAAAUGCCGAAUCCAAAUUAUUUUAAACCUUAAAUAUGCCAUACAAAUCAUUAAUCAUUCUAAAAAAUAAUUAAAGCACUAAGUGAUUAAAUUCUAUUAUUCAUUAACUAUAUAACUAACAUUAACAUAAAAAUAACAAAUAAAACCCUCCAAAUAUAAAAAUGUAGUCAUAAAAUUAACCCUAAAAUUUAUCAAAUGAUAAUUAUGUCUAUAUUCGCGAACGUUCAUUAAAACUCGCAAACAUAUUCGUGUUCGCGAAUGUUCGUUAAAACUCGCAAAGAUGCUCGUGUUCAUUUGAUUAUUAAUCGAACAAAAAAAUUCGUUCGAACUCGGUUCGUUUUAGGUUUCGAACGAGUCUUUCACGAACACGGACGUACCGAAAUGAACUUGAGUUACCGAACAGUUGGUUCGUUUAACAACUCUAACCUUAAACCUCUCUUCUCAAACUCCAUUGCCUAAUUUCUGGUAAGUUGCCUUUCUAUAUCUUGGUUUACUUACUUUUUAUGCAUAUUUGUGGCUCAUCUUUGUCAAUUUUUUUUCUUUUGUCUUUCUGGUUUUUUAGGCAGAAAUUUAAAAUCUUGUUGUGGGUAUAAUAGAAUUGGAGGGAGAAAUUUUGAAUUUGUUUGCUAAAAUUGAUGACAAAAGUUGGUUUGUCUAGGAUUUGCCUUUAGCUGAACAAAACCUUAGCAUUGCUUAUGGUGGGAAAUUUAUCAAUUUUGUUGGCUCUUUUCUUGGGAUGUGUUUUUUUCGAUUUUAAGGUUCUUUUUUUUUGGGAAAAUUAAAGGUGUAAAUUCAUUUCUUUUCUCGCUGAAUAAUUUGGAUUUGAUUAUGUGAGAUAACUAAGAUGGGAAAGGAAACAAAAUUCACCUAUGUGAAGUUCUGACUUCCGUGCAGUAUUUAGUAAAUGAUGCUUUCGGAAUUAUGCUUGUGGGAAUUGGUUUUUUUAUUUCUACAGGUUUUAUUUUUUUUUAUCUUUUUUUGUUCUGAAGGAUUUUGGUGUGUAAUUUAUCAGAUUACCCAAUUUAAUUAACGACCCGUUAAGGAUGUUUCAAAAUACCCUCUUUUGUCGGUCAAUUAGGAAUCAUGUUCGAUUUUCUUGGUGGCGCCGCAGCGGCGCUCCUUAAUUGAAAGUGAAAAAUAGGUUUAGGUAUUAAAUUGGACAAAAUUAAAAGAUAGGGACCAAAUGGACACUAGCAAAAAAGGUUAGGGACUAAAUUAGCGAUUUUCCUUUUUUUUUUGGCCUGUUUUUUCCUGGCCUGAUCUUCAGAUGACUUGUGUUUCCUCUCGGGCCACAGUUUCUCUCGGCUCUUGCUUGUCAAUAGUUUUUAGCAGACUGACAGCUACCGAGAUUACAGUCCCAUCAGCCGGUAUCUUGCACGCGGCAGUAGCACCCCUGCGGACAGUAGGUAAGAUUAAAUUCAUGUCCCAAAUUCUGCCCCAGCUUAAUUUUUAACCCAGUCAGUUCUUAAUUGUGGCCUAAAUUCAAAAUUUUGAUGGAGUCGCUAGUAAGUUUACUGAGAUAAUUUUCUUUAAUUUAUUCUUAGUUCCUUCCGUGUUGUUUGUGAGAAAUUUAUUUGCUUUUUUUCUUUAUAUGCUUAGGGGAACGAAGAUUGUUAUAUUUGGCAAUCUAUGAUGGAAGAACUGCAGCAGAGGGGUGUCAAAAGGAGGAAGGAAUGGAAGAAAAGGAGUUCUAAAAAAUCCAAAAACAAGAAAAAUGUGAGAACUUUAGGGCCUGGUUCAGAAGAUGGGAGGGUUAAGAAAAUGGAUAAAAAGAUGAAAAAGUUUCUUCAGAAAAAGGCUAGAAGCUAUAAUUCAGAUGAUGAUGAGGUGGAAGAAGAAGACUGGAAUUUGAAGGGGGGAGAAGAGCAGUCAGGAGUAGUGAAAAAUGAGGUAAAAGGUGGGUUUGAGUCGAAAUUUUCGGAUAGUGAGGAAGAAGGAGAAGAGAAUGGUGAAGAGAAAAUUGAGGUUUCGGAGGAUGAAGAUGGUGAAAUUCAGCCAGGAGUAAUGAGAUUUUCAGAGGGUUGUAAGGCUUUUAGGUUGGCAUUCAAGAAGAUUACCAAGAAAACUGCUUCAACCGAUCAUGAUGUACUGGUGAGUAUGCUUAACAAAUUCUUGACUUCUGCUAUUGAUCAUGUUUGGAGAUUAUUUUUGUAACUGUGAUUGAAUUUGAUUAGGGGCGCUUCUUCUUUUUGGUAGGGUCCUGUGUUAUCAGCACAUAAAAAACUUGUUGCCGAGAAGCUAGCUGAAGAAGAAGCAGAGAGAAAGGUUAAGGGUGAGGCAAAGAAGGAAAAACACCUGGUAUAUUGAUGAAUUUGUUUAGUUAUUUUGUUAUUUUCAUUGUUGCCGUUUUGAUAAAAAAUUUUAUUUUCAUGUUUAGGUUCAAGUAGCGGAAUUUAGAAAAUGUAAUUUCAUUGAGUUUUACAUGAGUGAAGUUUAGCCUUAACGGUCAAAUUAGUGCAAAUUUUGCCUUUUCCAUUAUAAUUAGUUCUCACGUGAUUUGGUUUUCUUUGCAUCAAAAGGUUGGAGAGAAGGGGCAUGUGAAGGCUGCUAAUUAUUUGGAUUCACAUGAAAAGCAUCUCAUUGGAGUUGCUACUAGAGGAGGUAUUCCUGACUUUAUUGAUAAUGGAAUAAUUGUUCUGCAAGGAAAAUAAAGGUCUAUUUUUUAACUGAUGAAGCUUCUGUGUUUCACGUGUCUUGCUGUGCUUUCCAGUGGUCAUAAUUAUUUAAUGCUGUAAGUGGCUUCUCCAAACCUAUUAUUUUCAGAUUUUGUUUCCAACUAAAUAUGACUGGUAGUUUCUUUUUAUUCUAGUUUUUGUGGUUUAUGUAGAUGAACUUUGUGGUACUUAAAAUGAUUAUUUAUAUGGCAUACAGGUCAAUAAGGCACAACACUCACAGAGAGGACUGAAUCCCUCAAGGUUGAAAGAUGAAAAUGGUAGGACUGAAUCAAUUCAACAUUUCAAACUUUGAUGUAUUAUUUUUUAACAACAAGGUUCUUGCUUCAAGUACAUGGUAUUUAUUCCUAUUAUCUUUUCCCUUAGCUUCUGUUCUCACAACAAUCUAAUUUUGAAGCCAAAUAUUUUUCUUUGACUUGAUAUUCAUCAAUACCUUCUCUUUUACUUUUUGAAUUUGUAUUCAGACUUUGAGGCUUUAGUUACUUGGUUCGAAAUGUCUAUCAAAAGCUUUCUCUUGCUCCAAAAAAUGCAUUAUAAUGGGGAUCCUCAACCAAGAAAUUAACAUAACUUCCUUAUUUACAGUCACUAGAACGUAUAUGUGCUGGGUUUGAGAUUUUCUAGUAUUACUGCUGCUUGUAUCACAGUAGACAACCUGAGGUAAUCAAUUAUAAUUAAUUUUGUACACAGGUUCGUGUUAGUCAGUUGCUCUCUUUAAGAUGAAUUCCUCUGUCCCUUUCAGUGUGUGGUUAGAAGAGUGCUAACAAUAUUAGGGAGCAAAACUUCCUUCCCAGGAGUAUUAUGGUGCUUCAUUACUAAUUCACGCCUUCAAUCCUUACUCUGUUUUUUAUCCUUAAGUUGUAUGGGGUGCAAUUUCAAGCUGGUUUAAUUUUAGAAUGUUUUCACCUCGAAAUUUUAAUGGCGAAUUGCUCUGGAUCAUGCCAUGAUCCCUGAAUUGUUAAGCAGUAGUCAUGAACUUGUCUGAUGACAUGUUACUUCAUGAAUUUCUUUCUGCAUGAGUUUUUUGGAGUUUCAUCUUGGGAUGUGGAUGGAAUUUGUGCAAAGCGUCAUCAUUGUAUAAAAGAAUUUCGUUUAAGAUAUAAAACCACAAUUAACAAGGAUAAUUGAUAGUUAACCUUCUAUUGCCAGUGAAAUAAUGUACCUUGUUUUUUCAUUUCACAAUGUAGUAGUUAUUACAGAAUGUGUUGCUAUGAAACUUUAUCUUGGGUUGGAUAUUGACAGUAGUAGCAAAGGGUUGUUUGUGUUAAAGUUUUAUGCUAUGCUAAGAACUAAAUAUAGGAGUGUGAGAUUGUGUGUCAAAUUUAUCUCCAAUCAAAUAAAAAGAAAUUGAGACUUUUACUGGAGAAAGCUAUAGGUGACGAAUCUCAGCAUUUGAUGCUUUUCUGAGUAGUUAAUUUAGGCUAUAACUGGUUGUCUAUUCUUUUUUUUCAUUUUUGGUGAUCAGUGAUAUCCUGGUUUACAUAUUGACCAUUGAUGUCUGCAAAUAUAAGAAACCAUUAUUAAGAUGAUGCUGGUUAAAUCCCAUUAGAUAAGUUGGAUAACAACAGGUUGCAGUCAAAAGGUAAGGAAUUACAUGAAAUUAGGAUGAAAGAUUUGGUUUUGAUCAGAUUCCAGUCCAUAGUUAAGACUUAAGACGUAUAUGCAGAUUCUUAGCCAGCUGUUGUAAUUGGGAAUCCUCAAGAGGAUGAAGCUUCAAAUCAUUGAGAACUGAUACAGGUUUUCUAUUAGAUUAGAUUACAGAUGAGAGAGUUUUAGAUAAGUAGAAAGCAUGUGAAGAAAAACGAUAAUUAGUCAAAUGCUUUAGGACUUUAGUAAUUUAAAAUAAAAAGAAAUAAUAAGCUAUUUAGAUUAAAAUUCCAUUUAGUGGUCAGGCUUAAAAGUUUUCUUGUUGAGCUACGUAAAUCAGUUUAAUUUUGUUCUUUAUCAUAAAUUGCAUCUUCUUUGACAACAUCUUCUUUGGUGGAAAUAUUUUUGAUGGCGGAGAUUCUUCUGAUGGUACAAAGUCUACGUAAAACUCGAAUUGCAUGGACAAGUGUCAUACGAGCCAAGGGAGUGGAUGGAAGUUUACUGAGAUCUGGACCGGAAGGAAGGAAUUGAAUUACAUGAGGAUGUUAGCCAUUAGGAUUAGAAGAUACAGAUUACUUUUUUUAAGUUCUUCUCUAGAGAUAUAACUUACCUAUUUAAUUUCUUAGAGCCUUCAGAUGUAGUUAACACUAAUCAGUUUUAAAUACUAUAACUUGUUUUUGUCUAAGAACUUGAUGAUUUGCAAAGAACAGCCCAAUUCAAGGUUUUCUCCUGGUUUUCCUAAACCUGUGUGUGAUCAUGAAGACUAUGUACUUGCCCACUUCUACUUGCCUUAUAAUACAAGUCUUCUGAACUAGUAUUAGUUGCAGAUCAUUGUGCCUAAAUUGGAAAGCAGCAAAUUUCCAUAGUUGGAACUUGAGAUGUCAUAUGAAGAUACUUUGUAGUUUAAAUAUGAUGUUGGUCUCUUUUUAUCUAGCUUGUAGUGCAUGGGAUAACCAGAGAACUGUGUGUGUGUGUGUGUGUGUGUGAGUGUGAGAGAGAGAGUAUAUUUAUCGACCUUCAAAAUUACAAAUGUUCACUCUGCCGAAACUUGCUCUCACACUGCCUCCUCUGUAAUAUUAGGCAGAGCUACUUCAAGUGGUUGUAUUGCAACUGAAAAGUGUGGUCUUCUGAUUAGUCAUUUUUCAAUCAGUUUUAGAAAGAAACAAGUAGGUUUUUGAUUGUCUAGUUAAGGGGAUUUAUUUGUAAUUCUCCCUGAGCUGCAAAAGUACAUUGACAUGAUAUUUCAACUCAAAUUUAAGCUAAUACAUGUCCUUUAUGCUGUGAUUAUGAAAUGGUGACCUCAUGUCAACCUUUAUUAGGAAUUGUUUUAGCAUGAAAGUUAGGAAAUGAAAAUUUCAUUUCAGCUGGGAGGUGGUGAUCUCCAUCUCAUUUGUGCACUUAAAAUAGUAAUCAUAAAGUACAUCUCACUGCUUAUGGCCCUCCAAGCAUACAUGAAUUUAGCUGGUAAAGUACAAGUUGCAUCUAUUGAGUAUCCCUUUGGGAGCUGAGGUUAUAAUCAGUUUGAUCAGUUUUAAUUUGUCUUUCUUGGCUGGUAAAGUACAUAGUUGCAUCUAUUUUCCCUGAGGUUAUAAUCAGUUUUAUUAGGUUUAAUUUGUCUUUCUUUUUAAUCUCUGCACCAACGUUUAAGAGCAACUUUAUAAAAUUUCUCAUUUUUUUUAACAUCGAGUGAUAUGGAUAUUUUUGCUGUUAUCUUAAACCUGCAGUAAUUAAGAAGCGGAGGAAAGAGGCUUUUUUCUCAGUCUUGGGCCGGACCCCUUCCCAAAAAACCGGGAGCAUAGAAAAGGUCAAUCUCUACAUGUUUGUUCCUAGUCGUGGUGUUUGAACUAAAUUGCUUUCUGUUUCUACCUUUUUUUUUCCUUUGUGCAUGACAUAUUUUGGAUUUCAUCAAUUUUUUUGCCCUUUUAAAUUCUUAAUAAGGCAGUCAAUUAAUUUGCUAUACUAUGUGUAGAUUGGUGCAUCUGCUGGCACUGGUUCUGUUGAUGCUCCUGCAUGGGCGCCAUUGCGUGAUAAUUACAUGUUAACAAACUCUAAGUUGAAGGACUGGGAUAAGAUGCCAGUGAGAAUCCCUCGAAAUCAUUCCUUUUUCUGGAGUGUUAGAUAGCCAUUCUGUAACGCAACAUCCCAUCUCAUUUGCUUGUCGAAAUUCUGCCUUUCUUGCCGAUGCAGGACACAGCUGUUGUAGAUGACUUUGGGUUGCGACCAGAUGCAGAUAGUUCAUCUGAUGAUUAGUAAAUGUCAGGAUAAAUUACAGUCGACUUGCAAUGCUUGGAUGCAGCCAACUGGAUGGAGCUGGAGAUGAUCUAAACAGAAGCAAGAAGUUGAGACCUGUCCUCUUCAUUCCAAAAGCCAUUGCCUAUUCUUAUAAUUAGAGAUGAGACAUCAUAGAGAGAUUCUAACCUUGAUUUCAUACUCCAUUUUCAAGACUCGGACAGUGUUGGGUUUAAAGAGUACCAGCUCAUUCAUAAUUCAAUUUUCACCAAAAAAAAAAAAAAGAAAAGAAAAGAAAAAGAAAAGGCAGUGUUAAAGAACCAUGUCAUCAGAAUCCCCAUCUAUCUCACAUGAUUAUGUUAGGAUCAACAUUGUACCUGUGAAUAGUCUCAUCGCCCACAAACAUCAUGUAAGAAACAAAUAUCAUCAUUACAUAGGACUUCAUUGUCCAAUGUACAAUCAAUUAAAAGGAAAAGGAAAAAUCGUUUAAAAUGUCCUAUAUAUUUUAUAAAAUAAUUUUUUUCGUCUCUCACUUUUAAAGAUGUAAUUUUACGUCUCCUAUGAAUUCAUAUUGAUCAAAUUUGAUUCCUAUCUAGAUUUCUAAGUAGGUUUUGGGUGGAAUUUACUCUGUAUCUUGCUCGUGAUUAUUUUUUAGGGAUAAAUUUGUCAAAUCAUAUUUUAUGUAAUCUAAUCCAUAGUCUCUAAUAUUUUGCAAAAUGAAUUUUUUCAUCCUUCACAUUUCAUAAAAAUGAAUUUUUCCAUUCUUUACAUUUCAUGAAAUGAAUUUUUUCAUCUCUCAUUGAUCAUAUGUACGAAUAAUUUUUUUUUUUUUUAAAACUCAUGUAUAUGUCUAUCUGAUUUCACCUACAACUACAAUUAGCUUGUUCAGAUAACAUUGAAUAGAGAUAUAUUACAUGCUAUUCACACCGUUCAGGUGAAAUCAAAUAGAUAUACGCAUAAAUUUUGAAAAAUAAGAAAAAAUUAUUUGUACACAUGAUCAAUGAGAGAUAAAAAAAAAUUAUUUUGUGAAAUUUGAGGGACGAAAAAAUUCAUCUUAUAAAUUGUGAGGGACUAUGAAUCGGAUUAUGUGAAAUGUGAUCUGACAAUUUUGGCCCUAAAAUAUGAUCACGUGCAAGGCUCGUGGUGAAUUCCAGUCAAGAACUAGUCAAAAAUCUAAACAGGAACCAAAUUUUAUCAAUGUGAAUUUAUAAGAGACAUAAAAUUAUACUUUUAAAAAUCAAAAAUCUAAACAGGAACCAAAUUUUAUCAAUGUGAAUUUAUAAGAGACAUAAAAUUAUACUUUUAAAAAUAAGGUACAAAAAAGUCAUUUUACAAAAUAUCAGAGAAAUUGCUCCAUGAUUAAGCAUGAAAUUUCUACAAAAGCACAAGACCAAAAGAAAUCAAUUUUAAUUGUAGUUUGUAUUAGGAUUUUUUUUACACGGAAAAUGUAGCGUGAUAAGUAUUGCCAAUUUUUUUGUUUUCUAGAUCAGCUAAAUUUCUUUUAAAUUAACGUGUUUUACAAAGCCAAUCUUGUGUCAAAGGUGCAGCUUUUGACUAUUUGAUUGAGAAUUUGAUUGCAAGUACUCAAUCAAAUUGAAGGAAUUAUUUCUAGAAUUAACUUUUUAUGAACUAAUAGUGUAGUAUUUUUUUUAUAUUUGCAAAUUUUUAUAUAUGUCACACGUGCAUGAUUUGAAUUUUAAAUUUAAAUUCAUAUUAUAUGGCAUGAUUUUAACCUAUUAGUGUAAAAAUAAAAUUUGUAUACUAACAAUGUAUAAAAAAAAGCUAUCCUUAUCUCUAAAAGUUUAAUUGGUAUAUUUAUAUGGGUGGGGUACCCAUGCUCGCCAAUUCUCAAAUUUAUGAUAUGUUUGCAUGCAUGCAAUAUCUACUUCUAACCUCAAUCCAUUGAUAUUAGAUACUGAAAGUGGAUUUCAUAUUUGUUUAAAUAUGUAAGAAUUAAAGAAAAGUAGGUGGUACCAAAACUCUAAGCUUCACUCACUUGAACCCAAUGCAAUAAGAACAUAUGAAAUCAUAAUGAAAUGAAAGUAUUAAGCUUGAAGAGGCACUCGAAAUUUGAGAAGCAAACUGUGUUUUAAAUAGAGAAAUGUUAUUUGCAUUAUUUCAUAAGGGCUCGUGAUUGGAUAACUUCCUUUACUACUUUCUAUGAAUUGUGCAUGUUUUAUUUUCAUUUAUUUCAAAUUUUGUGAUAUGUAAUUUGUGUUUUAUUAUAAAUGAGUAGGAAAAUAUCGAGAUUAAUAGCUUAACCAGGCAAUCAAUUUACUAAAAAGGAAAAUAUCGAGAUUAAUAACUUAACCAUUCUUUGUCUCUAUUAAUCUCCCGAGCCAAAGUUUCUUGCUUCCAACAAGAUCAAGAUUCACCUUAUUAACAGCUCUAGGUUAGUAAAAUGACUUGAAAAAAAAAAAUCAAAAGAUUAUUAGUGUUUAAGCACGAAAUUGUUUUGGUGACUCUAUACACCUAGAAUGCAAAGUUGAGGGGACAUUUUGAGGUUUUUGAUAGGCUUUUUCCUAUGGUAUCUUAAAUAUUGCAUCAAAAGUCCCAUUUAAGACUUUUUUCUUUUUUUAUUUCUAUUUAUUCAUUAGUUUCUUCCUUUUAUAUUUUAUUUUAUGACAGGAUAGAGCUCAUGUAGAAAGUAUUAAUUGAUUUCUUGAAGCAAGAAUUGGGUUAAUACAAAUUAAUAAAUUGGAAUAACUUCGUGACUAUACAUUCGAUAUAGAAAUAGAAUGAAAUUUUGUUGGGGCUAAAUCAAACUUUUUUGGCCCAAUGUGUUUUUGUCCACAGGACGCCAGGAGGAAAUUCCAGUAACUGGUAUGUUGUUGCCAUUUUGAAAGGAUUAAGGACUGAAGAAAUGUAUAAAGUCUAAACCCAAUGAUGGGUAAGGAUCCCAGAAAAGCACCAUCUUAAUUGUCUCAAUAACUAAGCCCCACUUAGGAUCUAAAGAUAAGAAACAAAAUUUUAAAGGAGACGAAUAAGGGGGUAAAGACCAUCUGAAUUUUGUAAAUGAAACAAAACCAAAAUUACAAAAUCCAUUUUUAUCUUAUUUGAAUGACUUUCCUGCAUGACAAUUGAUGAGUUUUGAUCAAUUGAAACUAGAUGUGUCAAAAUCGGUAACUUGGAUGGAUUUGGAUUGGUUAAAAUAAGUAAUGGAUAUAAGUGAGAAUCCAUUUAUGCCCAUUUAAUUAUAUGAGUAUAAAUGUGUAUGUUAAAAAAUGAAUUGGGUAACCCAAUUACCCAUUUAUAACCAUUUAUUUUAAUUUUUUUAUAAACUCAUUUGAAUUCAUUUUUGCAAGCUAAGUUAUCAAUUUAUAUCACCCUUUACACCCGUCAUUAGUUUUAAAUAUUUUAUCAAUUUAUAUCAACCUUUACACCUAUAAUUAGUUUUAAAUAUUUACUUAUAAUGCUCAAUAAGAGUGGGAGAAGACUAUUCUAAAUGGAUUAAUUAGAUUUGAUAGGUUACCCAAUAAUACCCAUAUGCAAAAACUUAAGAUACACAUACCCAUCUCUACUCAUGAACGGACAUAGAUAAAUUUAACUAAAUAGAUUUGUUUGCCACCUAUACCAUUUAGCAAUCAUAUAAUGAUGAACAAUGGCUUUAGCAGCAAAAAUGUAAGGUGCUCUGCAUACACCUUGUGGCACUCAUAAAGCAUGCAAUACCUUCUCAAGAUCCACGAUCCACUUCUAUCUGCAAGAAUUUUAAAUGGCCAAGGCGGACCCGUGGCAAUGCCACUUACUGCUUCAAAAGCAAUCAUAUUUCACCGAACAAAUUAUCCGCAUAGUACUUUUUAAAUAAUUAAAAUUUGGCUACCCAAUUACCUGGAUCUAUCAAUGGGAAAGUAGCCAGGCAAAACCAGCGGGUUGUCAGCUAGAGUUCGUUCAUGAGCUAAUAGAGGGAGGGGGGGGGUGCAAGACAGAUCACUUGCAGCUCUGGUUUAAUGCAGAUGAUGUGGAGCACAUAACUAGCAUUCCUCUUAGCCUUUAUGACAGGAAAGACAGAUUAUAUUGGAAGCAUAGCAAGUCUGGGGUUUAUAAAGUUAAAACAGGUUAUGUGGUUGCAAAGGGGGGAUGGGACACCAUGAACCGCAGGUCAACACCUGACUCUGAGACUAGCUGGGAAAUUAGGAAGCAUACGGUGUGGAAAAGAUUGUGGAGUUUAAAUAUUAAGAUGAAACUGAAGCACUUUUUAUGGAGGUGUUUGCAAAAUGGGCUGGCUACUAGUGAAGAACUCUAUCAGAGAGUUGGAAAGGGAAGCAAUCUUUGUCAUUGCUGUGGAGAGGCUACUGAAACCAUUGAACACAUGUUCAUUUUUUGCCCAAAAGCUCGAGUGGUUUGGAGGCUAGCUCCUGUGAGAUGGGAAGGGAUAGUUGAGCUGCAAGGCAACAUAUGGAGAUGAUGGGAUGCUGUGAUGGAAUCAGCAAAGGUGGUGCAAGGAGUGGAUCGUGUCAAGCUCACAGCGAAUAUUCUUUGGCAGCUCUGGAAAGCGAGGAACAAGAUGGUAUUCCAGAUGGAGAGUGUGGAUGCAAAAAUGAUAAUCGACAAAGCUCAGCAGGAGUGGAUCGAAUAUGACGCGACAAAUGACACAGACUCCCGACCAACUGCAUCAUCAGAGAGGGAAAGACUGGUUCAGCAUGCUUGGGAGCCACCCAAGGAGGGAGUCAUGAGGAUUAAUACGGAUGCAGCAAUCUCAGCUAAAAUGGUCAGGACCGGACUAGGGGUAGUUGCAAGGAACUGGCGUGGGGAACUAGUGAAAGCUCGAGGAAUCGGUGGAAGGAGAAGAGGGGAAGCCGCCACAGAGGAAUCAUUAGCGAUCAAAAGUGCGCUGGAAAUGGUUCAAGUUGCAGGUUGGACAAAUAUAGAAGUCCAGUCUAACUGCAAAAAUGUAGUGAGCUCUAUUAAUGCGGGUAAUGUUCAGUAUUGUAAGAUACAAACAAUCCUAGAAGACAUUGAGACCCUAAAGAAUAGCUUUGACAGCUGCCUAGUCUCUUUUGGCCCCAGAAUUGCGAAUGGCUGUAGUCAUGCAAUGGCUCAAUUUGCAGCCAAGUCAAUUAGAAACAUUGAUUGGGAAACCUCAUUCCCAACGUGGCUAGCAGACUUAGCUAGGAAAGAUAUGGGAGUAGUUACCCUUUUUGUAAUUAACUCUUGUUUUUUCAAGUGUUAAUAUCUAUAAAAUGUUAUCGUUUGUUAAAAAAAAAAUAAUUAAUAAAAUAUUUUUAUCCAUUGAACUAUUAAAUAUGUAAAUUUUAACCAUUCCAUCUAAUUUCACCGUUAACUUUAACAGACCUAAAAAAUCACAUAAUUUGUGAGAUAUACUAUUAAUAGUUAAAUUUGACAUAGUUAACGGUAAAAUCGAGCAGAAUGAUCCAAAAUUUAUACAUUUAAUAGUUCAAUGGGUAAAAGCAUUCUAUUAAUGGUUGAGCGGCUAAAACUCUUAGUAACUACCCAGAUACUUUGCUCUACUUCACCGUCUAAGUUAGGUCCUUAUUUGGUGUGUACAUUCGCGAAGCACUCAACCUUUAUUGGAGUGAUGCCUUCUCUAUCCAUAGUUUGAACUAGUUGUAUAAAUAGAAAAUGAAGAUUAAAACCACAGAGGUAGGAUCAGUGACCUUACUGUCGUAAAAAGCAGCCAUUCUACUCCUGUCCAUGUCGGACAUUAGAAUUCUUUUUCAAUUUGCAUACCACAAAAUCACAUAGGACUCUCACAAUACAUUUGCUAUUAAUUUCAACCACCCCAUCUCAAAAGACGGCAAGACAGCUAAAGGUUCCUAAUUCGAUCCCAAUGACAUCAUACGAUCCAAGAGAGAGGAGGAGUUUCAAUAGCUGAUCUAAUACAGGAAGCACCUGCAAUGAAUGAACACUACAGUUACACUUCAUUGAAAACACAAGUUCUGCUAAGCAGACAGAUCUAAUACAGGAAGCACCUAGUGACCAAAUCGAUUGUUUGGGCAAAGAUGGGGCAAUUAAAACAUAAGAAGUUCACCAUCACAAGCCGCUUUUACCCCGAAGCCAAAGGACGUGUCAUAUAAAUCAGUAUGACAUAGGACAUAAAAUGCCAAAGAAAUCAGAAGCACAUUUUUUACAAGUGAAAAGCAAAGACAAAAGAAGUUCAUCAAUUAUCCCCUCUUUCUACAAAUAUACAUCAGUUACUUUCAAAAGCUUCACAAGAGAAACAGCACAUAAGGAGAAAUCACUCACCUUGAAGCCCUCCAAACCCUUUUAGAUGUUUCUUCUGUUAAUGCCAUGACACGUCGUCCUUUAGCACAUGUUCCCAAUCUGAUGAGCAAUUAUCAUUAAACCCCAGAGAAAAAUGGUUUCCCCGUCCAUGCAUUGCACUAGAUUGGUUUACUGCAACAUCUGGGAUAGAGGGGAAAAAGUCUCUUACCAAUUCAUAUCCAGAACCACCAACAUGAAAGCUAACAUGGCCUUGGUUAACAUCACCUGUUUUGAGAGAAUCAGGUUCCACAGCUAAAUUUAAUCCACCAUCCUCCGAUUGAUCUUUACUAAACCGCAUGGUAUCAGAAUAGACAGCAUCAACUAAACCUGCAUGUUCCCAUACCAAAUUUGUCCCUUUCAGGUCAUCGCGGCAUUUUAAGAUAUUGAAUCUGGUCAUAAUGGCUGCAUCAACAUUAUCGAUAUUCCUAUUUGAGCUCAAAUCAUCUUUGACUGCUUCAUUUUGGGAACAACCUAUAUUCAAGUCAGCCUGCCCUUGAUUAAUAUCAUAUUUUUUUUGAGAAUUAGGUGCCACAGCUACAUUGAGUCUUCCAUCCAGGAAUUGGUCUUUAACAAAUGGCAUCUCAUCCGAACAGAGAUCAUCAGCCAUAACUGCAUCUUCUCUUACCACAUUCGGACUUCUUGAGUCAUCAUGGCAUUUUAAGAUAUGGAAUCUGGUCAUAACAGAGGCCUCAACAUCAUUAGGAUUACUGGUUGAGCUCAAACUUGAGCUGCAGAUUGUAGUCUUUUGCAGCGAGCCAUCAACCUUAGGUGGUGGCACAUCAGAUAUUCUCAAGUCAUGUGAACUAGAAGUUGACAUAUUCUCCAAAGCAGCUGCAUUUUCUGAAAAAUUUAAAGCAUAGAAAAUCAGGUAAGCAAUCAAUCAUACAUAGAGAAUUGCAAUAAGAAAUCCCUACCUUUUUUCUGGUUGGAUUUCAAUUUCUCUAUCUCAAUCUUCAUCCUAUCAAAGCGAGCUCUGUAACUAAUGGAACACAAUUUAGCUUCAGCCUCAAGCCACGAGUUCUUAAAAAGGAGAGCUUGUGAAUCCAUUUCUUCCCCAGAAUGAAAAUUUUCCUCGAGGACCUUCUUUAUUGCCUGAAAUACAAUAAUCCGAACAAAUGUAUUGAGAAUUCUAUUUUAAAAAAAUUCCAGAACAACUUAGCAGAGAUACAUAGAUCAUUCAAGUUAACCACAUGCAAACACAAAACUGUUUCUUAGGAGGAACAUAACCCUACCUGGGCCAUAUUAUCAUCUUUCAAUACUUCUAAACCAUCUGUUACAGGAGAAAGGGGCUGAAGCUUCUCAUUUUUUUCCUGGGUAACAUUGUGAUUCCCCAUCUCAUCAUCGGUAUUUUGAAAAUCAAGAUGGCAAUGAGAAUUUGUACCCACUUCAUUUUCAAACUGAUGUCUGCCUGCAGCAUUGCUCUGUAAAAGAUACCAUUUGGUUUUACACAUAAUCAGAUGCUGCUUAUAUACCCAAAAGAUUAUCUUUAUCUCGCGUAUUAUGUCUUUAUGUUUACACGUGGUAAACAAAAAAAUCUCUACCACAAAGAAAAAAUGCUUAAUGGACAAACAAAUGGAAACAAAAUAUUCAAAGUAUGUUGUGAAUUGAGUUUGGCCUCCACAAAUUCCUGGGAUAAAGGAUGCAAUUGUUAUAAGCAGAUAUAACUGCAACUCCAAAUUAUCACCCAAUUAUUUUUUUUCUCUUCUGCAGCCUCAGAUGUACCAAAUUAACAUUAUUGACACAAUGAAAAGAACAGAAUUCAAACUAUAUAAGCUGCAGAUUAACAAUGCUGACGAACCUCUAACUGGGCAUGAAUAACCAGAAUAAUUUCCUCUACUGCUAUAACAAUCUCAACGUUACUUAUACAGAAGUCAUAUGCACCAUGAUAUUUAAAUAAUUAAACUUAAAACUUCGAACAACUCACAGCAGACACUUCUUUUAAUAAACAUAGCUUUAUCUCAUAAUGCAAAUCUAAGAUUUCGACAUGAUACACUAUUCAAACAUACCACAUGAGGAUCAACGGAGUUUUGAAUUUUAUGACAAGUAACUUGCUGCCGAAAUAUUCGCUCUUGUGGUUGAAUGAAAUACUCCAUUUUCCUUGAAGCAAGCACAUCCAGAUUGCUCAUUACAUGCUUAAGGGCCUCUAAGUCUUCAUCUUUUAGUGCAGAUGAAUCAGUUAUACAGUUGAAGACAAGCAACUCCGAAAGGUUCUGCAAUGCUUUAACUAAUGAUUGAACAUCUAUUUUGGGAGCCGAUUCACAUCCAUGCUGUGUUGCUUGCUCAGCAGCACCUUCUUCAGAGGAAGGAGAACGAAGAACAUUUUCAGCUGCACGAACAGCAACAGAACCUUCUGCAGUGACACUGGUGUUCAACACAGAGUCCAUAACUGAAGAGUGAAAAUUCAGAACUGAAGGGAUAAAAUCUUCGACUCCAACUUGUUUGAUGCCUGAAGAUUUCAAAUCAGAAUCAUUCUUUGAUUGUGUCUGCAGGUUGCAAUCUUCUCUAGGCUUAUUGUAAGCCUCACAAGGUUGAACUCCUUCACUUGGGCCUUUAAAUCUGGCUUUUACAGCAUCAAUUGACUUUACUUGUCUGGCAGUGCAAUCAGCU